rnacentral:lncRNA from 1 species
GACAUCAGAUUUAGGGCUGCAACUUGGGUGGAAUAGGUUGGGUUGGGUUGAGGGCAAAUCCUAACCCAACCCUACCCUUAUCCAUUCAUCAAUAUACUUAUACAUAAAUCUAACAAGACUAAAGAUAUAUCUGUAUAGAUAUAUAAAAUUAUGCAUCCUAUAUAUAAAACAUAAAUAUGAAUUGGAAACAUAAAUAUAAGUUGUCUUUUUAUCUGUAUAUUAGGUUGGCUUGGGUUAUUGGGUGGGAUCAGGUUGGGUUGUGUCCUGGUUGUGUUAGGAUUGGUUUUGAGAUGUAUGGGGUUGAAGGUCAAUCAUAACCUGACAUUACUUUAGGUCAGGUUGAGAUUUUUAUGCCCCAGCCCAACCCAAAGUUAUAAAACCUCAGCCUAAUGCUUCUCGAUGAGUGGGUUGGGCAGGUGAGUUUUGGUUGAGCCUAAUCCAAGUUGCAUGCUACCCUUGUGCAACCUCAUUAUUAGUAUUAUUAUUAUUGUUAUUAUUAUUAUUAUUAUUAAUGGCUUAAUAGUUUUAGCAAGACUGUUAGGUUGAUCCACUAGUUGUUCACGUUAGAUAGAUUGAAGAGAGGAGAUUGAGCAUUAUCUUUACAGUUAUGAUUGCUUGCAUAGGUGGAGAAUGAGAUUCCAUUUUAAGGCUGCGAGUUGCAAUUGAUUAGUUUUGCAUUUAGUGACUCGACAUAUCUGAUUUAAUUUAGGAAUAUGGUAUCAUUUCAUCAUACAUUAGAAGAACAUGUUAAAAUCCUCUUUAUUUGAUAUUCUUCCUCUAUAUAAAUAUAUGACAUCACUUAAGACUGUUGAUAAUCAGAAUUGCUUAAGGAGAAGUCUCCUAAGCACCUUAUAUCUAUAUAUGAGGUUACAUGGUACAAUAGAAAACGAAUCAAUUACAAUAGGAAAUAAAUCAAUGACAAAUAUCUCCUACUCUAGAUAUGGAAAUAAAUUACAAUCCCUGAUUUGCAGACACAAGUCAAGGGAUAUAGAAAUAUCAAUCAACAUCCCUGAUUUGCAAACACAAAUUAAGGGAUAUAGGGAUAUCAAUCAACACUCCUCGUCAAGCUGGUGUGUAUAUGUCAUAUGCAUCAAGCUUGUUACAUAUGUAUGUUACCCUCGGACCUCGAAGUAAUUUGAUGAAGAUAUCUGCUAGUUGAUCGUUAGAAUUCACAAAUGAGGUAGUGAUUUCUCUAGAGAUGAUCUUUUCUCGGAUGAAAUGGCAGUCAAUCUCUAUAUGUUUAGUCCGCUCAUGGGAGACUGGAUUGGAAGUAAUGUGCAAGACCGCUUGAUUAUCACAAAUGAGUUUCAUAGAGCCUACCUUGCAAAACUUCAAUUCUUGAAAUAGUUGUCUCAACCAUAUAAGUUCACACGUGGUAAGGGUCAUAGCUCAAUAUUUUGCUUCUGCACUUGAUUUGACAAUCACAUUAUGCUUUUUGCUUUUCUAUGAGAUGAGAUUGCCCCUAAUAAGAACAUAGUACCCAGAAGUCGAUCUUCUAUCACUAGGGGAUCCUGUCCAAUCUGCAUCUGUAUAUGCAACAAUAUUUGUGUGGCCUCUAUUUUCAUAAAUCAAUCCUUUUUUGAGAGAACCUAUAUCUUAAGAUCCGAACUACUGCAUUCCAAUGACUGUCACAAGGAGAGUUAAGAAACUGACUUACAACACUAACAGCGAAGGAUAUGUCUGAUCUGGCCAUGGUGAGAUAAUUUAAUUUUUCCACCAGUCUUCGAUACCUGUCUGGGUCUGAAUAGGGCUCCUCCUGAUCUGAUAGAAGUUUCACGUUUGGAUCCAUAGGAGUAUCGAUUGGUUUGCAAUCUAGCAUCUCAGUCUCUUCCAGAAUGUCAAGGGUAUAUUUCCUUUGAGAGAUGGCAAUGCCUGUUUUUGAUUGGGCUACUUCAAUCCCAAAGAAGUAUCGCAAUCGGCUUAAGUUCUUAGUUUGGAAGUGUUGAAACAAGUGCUGCUUUAGGCCUUUGAUACCGUCAUGAUCAUCACCUGUAAUGACAAUAUCAUCCACAUAGACCACAAGGUAGAUGCAUAGAUUAGAGGAUGAAUGUUUAUAAAACACAGAGUGAUCUGCCUCACUACGGACCAUGCUAAAUUGCUGUAUGACUUUACUAAAUCUUUCAAACCAUGCCCAGGGAGACUGCUUAAGGCCAUAUAGCGAUUUGUGUAACUUGCAAAUAAGACUCGUCUCCCCCUAAGCAACAAAUCCGGAUGGUUGCUCCAUAUAAACUUCCUCCAAGUCACCAUAUAGAAAGAUAUUUUUGAUGUUCAGCUGAUAUAGAGGCCAAUGGUUCAUGGUAGCCAUUGAUAACAAGAGCCGGACAGACACCAUCUUAACAACAGGGGAGAAUGUGUCUCCAUAAUCAAGAUCUAAGAUCUGAUUAUAGCCCUUAGCCACAAGACGUGCUUUCAAACGAUCCACUUAUCCAUCAGGGCCCACUUUAAUAGUAAAAAUCCAUCGACAACCAACUGUAGAUUUUUCAGGAGGGGAAGGAACAAGAGUCCAUGUGUUAUUAGAUUUCAAGACUGCCAUCUCAUCAAUUAUCGUCCGACGUCAUCCUAGAUGGAAAAGUGCUUCUUAGACAGUUUUAGGAAUAAAAACGGAAGAUAAGGCAGAAACAAAGGCAUAAUGGGAAGAAGAUAAAUGAUGAUAGCUCAAGAAAUUAUAAAUAGGAUGAAGAUUACGAGUAGAGCGUAUACUUUUACGGAGAGCUAUAGGCCAGUCAGUGGAAUACUCAGGUAGGCCUGGUGUAGGUGGAGACACUGGAGCAGAAAAUGAAUCACCUGAAUCUUUAAUGGGAACAGUCUCCAAAAUCUCAGAUUGUGGUCAAUGCUGAUAAGUGAUAAGUGGACAUGAUGAGGAAUGUAUCGGCUGAGCAGGCGGAGCAGGAGGUUCGGACACAUAAAGUUGGAGAAACAGAGACUGGCAGACCAAGGUAGGGAAUUGGUAAGAGUUGGGAGAUGGAUUCAGGUUCCACCAAUGAGCUGAAAUAAGGUGUGUCCGCAAAGAAGGUAACAUCUGCAGACAUGUAAAAUCGAUGUGUGGAAGGAGAAUAACACCGAUAUUCUUUUUGAACCCAAAAGUAAUCAAGAAAAAUGCAUUUAAUAGCACGGACAGACAGUUUAUCAAGACCUUGAGAAAGAUCAUGCACAAAACAUGUAGAACCAAAAACACGAGGGGGAACAAUGUAAUGAGGGUCCUUAGGAAACAAAAAAGAAUGAGGUACUUGGUUAUUUAAAACAGAUGAUGGCAUUCGAUUUAUCAAGUAACCAGCGGUGAGGACAGCAUCACCCCAAAACUUUAAGGGUGCAUUAGUAUGUAACAAAAGAGUACGAGCUAUCUUAAUAAUAUGACGAUGUUUUCUUUCUGCUAUGCCAUUUUAUUGUGGAGUAUGUAAACAGGUGGACUGAUGAAUCAUGCCAUGAAAGAAUUGAAGAGAGCAGAAAAAUAUUCUUUUGCAUUAUCACUAUGCAAAAUGCAAAUAGGUUGUCCAAACUGAGUUUGAAUUUCAUUGCAAAAGUUUUAAAAAAUAGUAAACAACUUUGAACGAUCUUUCAUUAAGAAUAUCCAAGUACAUCUUCAAAAAUCAUCAAUGAAAGUAACAAAGUACCUAUAUUCGAAGAUAGAAGUGACACGAUUAGGAUCCCAAAUAUCAGAAUGAACAAUAUCAAAAGGAGAUUCUGCUUGAUUAUUUAUCUUGCUUAGAAAAGACGUCCGAACAUGUUUUUCAAGCCGACACGACUCACACUCUAAAGACUGCAAAUGAGAGAUGAGGGAUCAUCUUUCUUAGCUUAUUUAGAUUCGAAGGAUCCAAACGAUGAUGAAGGAGAUUAGGAGAUUCUGUGACAGCACAUAUGGUAGAGGAUAGAGGCGGGAGAUAAUAGAGUCCUUGUGAUUCAGAUCCUACACCAAUCGUCUGUCCCAUACUCCGGUCCCAUACUCCGGUCUUGUAUAAGAAAAGAAUCAGCAGUAAAGGUUAUAGAGUAGUCAAGAGUGCUCGUCUGUCCCAUACUCCGGUCUCAUACUCCGGUCUUGUAUAAGAAAAGAAUCAGCAGUAAAGGUUAUAGAGUAGUCAAGAGUGCGAGUAAGUUGACUAAUAGAAAUUAAAUUAAAGGGGCAACUUGGUGUAAAAAGAACAGAAUUUAAGGAUAAAGAAGGGAGAGGUGUAGCUUGACCAAUGCCAGUGACUUUAGCUUUAGAGCCAUUGGCGAGGGUGAUGUAAUGUGGUAUCUUGGGAGAUGAUAAUUUUGAGAAAAGAGAAAGAUUACUAGUUAUGUGAUCAGAAGCACGAGAAUCCAAAAUCCAGGAUCCAUCAGAUGAAAAAUGAGGGAGGCAAACUGUAGAAUUACCAGUAUGGGCACAGUAGUUGAAGAUGAAGCUUGUUGGGCUGCUAUAAAUUGAAGAUACUCCUUGUAUUCACUGUCUGAUAAAACAUUCUGGUUGUCACUCCUAAUACUCGGUGCCUGAGAUUGUAUCAUAUUAGCUGAUUUUUCAGAAAAAUCAUGCAAAGAAUAGCAUUGGUCUCGAGUAUGGCCCAAGUGAUUACAAAAAGAACAUUGAGGAUGAUUAUCAGAUCCUCGGCCACCUCUACCACCACCACGACCACGGCUUCGGCCUCCACGGUCAGUCGUAUUAGAGACAAAGACUGAAGAUUUUGAGAUUGUUUGGAAGCUAACUCCAGAUGCUACUUCUGGAGGAGGAACUCGUAGCAAAUGAUCAAUGAGAUCCUCCACCAUAGCAAUAUUAGGAUUUGUCAGAACUUGAUUCUGAACAGAGUCAAAAUCUUUAUGAAGAUCGUGGAGAAUGAACACCAUAUACAUGUUGUCAAGCUUGUCCAGCAUCUUCUAAGGGUUAUCACUGGUCAGUAUCAACUUGAUUUCUUCAAUGGUGGAUUGAGCUUUGUUUAGAUAUGAGGGUAGGUCAUGAUCCGUCAUUUUGAGUGUUGUCAGGUUAUAGACAGAAUCGUACAAAUGUUGUAUAUCAUUGGAAUAGAUGCUCCGAGCUUUCUUCCAUAUGUCAUAGCAUGUUUUAUAUGAGCGAAAGCGCACUAACAUCGUUGGAUCAAUGGACUACCAUAACAAGGACACCAACUGAUAAUCAGCCUUCUUCCAUUGGUCCCUCUCAUCAGCAUCAAUAUUUUAUGCCCUCUUGGUUAGAUGCUCGGAGAGUCUUUGACCUAAAAAUUAUACAUCAACAGCAGCAUACCAAUCUAAAAAAUUUUUGCCAUUUUCUCCGACGUUAUGGUAGGAGUGCUAGAGAACGUGAAGGAAACAAGGCCCUUCUUCAAGUCUGAUGUGGAAGCCACGAGAGAAUAAUUUUACUAAACAGUUCUAAUGAUGAGAUGAUGACCAAAAACAGAGGUAGAAUGGCGAAACUAAAAUAGAGGCAAAAACGUAAGGAGGGGACGAGAUAGUGUUGUCGGGCUUGCCGGAAAGAUACACGGGAAGAAGAUCCGGCUGUCUAGAAGCUUUUCCAUGGAGGACAGUGGGUCCACCGGAUUUUACAAAGGCUCUGAUACCAACUUAAGACUGUUGAUAAUCAAAAUUGCUUAAGGAGAAGUCUCAUAAGCACCUUGUAUUUAUACAUGAGGUUACAUGGUUACAAUAGGAAAUGAAUCAAUUAUAAUAGGAAACAAAUCAAUGACAAAUAUCUCCUACUCUAGAUAUGAAAAUAAAUCAAAAUCCCUGAUUUGCAGACACAAAUCAAGGGAUAUAGGGACAUUAAUCAAGAUCCUUAAUUUGCAGACACAAAUCAAGGGAUAUAGGGAUAUCAAUCAACAACAUCAUCGGUCCUUCAAUUUAUAUAUUCAUAACCAGUAUUAUUCAUAUGGAUCUAGUCUUUGUGCUCAAUUACAUUCAGAAGAAAAAAUUAUUCACGUGAACAUUUUUAACAAAUGAUCAAUGUACUAAUUGCUAGCGAAAUUUUUGUGUCAUGUGUCAUUUGACAUUUUUGUUCCUAAAUUUAAUGCUCUGAUCUAACCUUUGAUUCAGAAUCUUUAUAAGGCUUGUUUUGCACAUCUUGCUGUGCAUCCUUAAUUCUUGUGGUCUUGUUUUGACUGAUAUUUACUCUCAAGUCUCAAGUCAAUUCAUUAUCCUUAUAUCUUGAUGACCAAGAAAUGCUGUUACCAUCUUAUGGUCACCAUAAAGAAAUAGGAACUUCAUAAGUAACCAGGGCAACCAAACCUAAUCUACAGCAUAUGAGAAUUUCAGGUGCCAGGAAUCGAACGUCAGUUCUUGAGUGCUCAAGAUUUAUAAUCUGAGCAUUCUGCAAUGCAAUCUAUGCAACUUCUGUAAUGCAUACUAUGAUAGAUAUCUCAUGUCAAAAGUAAUUUACGAACCAGUGAAGGGAAGAUCAUCUUGUCAUUGCCUUUUGGUUUAUCAAGUUUCAGGAAACCCUGCUAUUUAAAGGCACCUACCUGGCUAACUUAGAAUAAAGUAUGUGUUUUCAACUGUUUCAUAUGUGGUUUGCUUUCAUUAUUUUAAUUUGUUUUAAACUGUUUCAAUGUGGUUUGCUUUCAUUAUUUUUAAUUUGUUUCCAUUUUUUAUUAUUUUUAAGUAAAAUUUGAUAUUUUUAUUACAUUACAUUAUACUUUUGGAAAGCUCUAUAUAACACAUGAACUGGAAUAGCCACAAAUAUUGCUACAAUACAUGCAAGGGUUGGACUCAUUCUCAUCUUGGAAACCGCUUGGCAUGAAACUUCUGUCUAGUUUUUCCUGUAACCUCCUUCAGAUCGUGAUUUGUAAUGCACACCACCUAGGAAAGAUGAAGCUUAUUAUCUUGUUUCUGUAUCUAUCUCGCUUUACUUCCUAUGAUGAUUUCUAGUUUGUGACUACUUUUUGAGGAUGAGGACUAAUCUUCUUUAAACCCGCUGAAAUUUCAUUGUGAAAUACAUGGGAAUGUUUUAGCUGAUCUAUAUCGGUGGUGUCUAAAAAUGGAAAGUCUCCCAUGUAAGUCUUGCUGAAUAAAGUUCUGUUUUUUUAAACUGGAUAUGCAACCUUGCACUAACGCGCACCAAUUCUUACUAUAAUUUACUUGUUACUAUCUAAUGCUGUUUUUGUUUUUGACCAGACUAGGUGAAGCUAUUGAUAGGACAGUACUUAGUCAUCUUUUAAAGAUGUUCACGGCUCUUGGAAUUUACACAGAAAGCUUUGAGAAGCCCUUUCUCGAAUGCACCUCUGAGUUUUAUGCUGCUGAAGGUGUGAAAUAUAUGCAACAGUCAGAUGUUCCAGACUAUUUGAAACAUGUGGAGGUGAUUAGCUCUUUUCUCUGGUUUAUUUUCUUAUUUUAUCAUUUAUAUAUUUAUUUGACUUCGAGGCACCAUCAUUUAUGAUAUCAUACCUUACAUUGAAAAAAAAAAAAUCUCGGUGCAAACCUGCAGUCAAGGCUACAUGAGGAACAUGAAAGAUGCUUGCUCUACCUAGAUGCAAAUACAAGGAAGCCCCUUGUAGCAUCCACUGAAAAACAACUCCUUGAACGCCACACAUCUGCAAUUCUUGACAAGGUGAUGUUUAUACCUUCUGUUGCUUUAAUUCUUCUACAAAAUUUGUAAAUUCCUUUCCAUUGUUUUCACAGUCAGCUUUGUUGAUAGUGCUGUCCUUUUAAUGUUAUAGGGAUUUACAAUGCUAAUGGAAGCAAAUCGUGUUGAGGACCUUCAGAGAAUGUACACACUCUUUCAGAGGGUUAAUGCUCUGGAGUUGUUAAGACAAGCUCUUAGCUCAUAUAUUCGGGGUACCGGGCAAGGCAUUGUUAUGGAUGAAGAGAAAGACAAAGAUUUGGUUUCCUAUCUCUUGGAGUUUAAAGCAUCUCUGGAUACAAUCUUAGAAGAAAGUUUCUUCAGAAAUGAAGCUUUUUCGAAUACCAUAAAGGAUUCUUUUGAGCAUCUCAUUAAUCUUCGUCAGGUCGGUGCAUGCUUGCCACUUUGGUUGCUUAGUCACAGCUACUUUAUCUGCUUUCUAGUUUUUUUUUUUAAUGUUUCCUGUUACUUACUUCAUAUUGUGUAUUAUGGAAGUGUAGUAGGAGUAUGUUAAGAAUAUUGUUAGAGAUCUUGAACAGUCUGAAGGAAUUUGCUGAUUAGUUAUUUGAUGGUGUUAGAAAAAUACAGAUAUCUUGCAGUAUUAGUUUUUCUGGAAUGUAUAUUUUGGUUUGGUGGAAUAUGUGGUUUCUCCUGAAUAUUCUCUUCUUUCGGAUGUCCCAGGAAACUGGCCAGGUGGCAACUUUCUGUAUUUGUACUUUCAUCUCUUAUCAUGUGUAUUCAGACCAACAGCUUUUAGCUCAGCUGGUUAGCACCCAUCUCUCCAUCGGAGAGGUCCUGGGUUCUAUCCCAGGUGGCGGCAAAUAACCAGCAUACUGCUCAAAAAAUGUGAUGAAAACCAAGCUGUGUUGUUGGUUGGAUUUCAGCUAUUCUUAUUAUAAUCUCCUGUUCCGACAGCUUCCUGAUGCUUAAUUUUCUUGUGCUAUAGAUUGUGUUCUAUGUUGGUUAACAAAAUUCUCAUACUCAGUGACUUAGUGAACUAUGCAUUUAUUCUUUCAGCAUAAACUAGAACAGAUUUUUAUGGACAGGGCUCAAUUCCCAUAACACUCUUGCCGGUUUUUUUUUCUUUUUUGUUGCUUGUGUAUCAAUUGGGUGGUUAAUGUCUUAUUGAACAGCAUCGGGCGGUUAAUGUCUUACCGAACAGCCUUGACAACUAACAAUUGCCAAUGAGAAAAAAUACAACAUUUUUAAUAUCAGCUUAUCUUUGCUCCAUUUGCACCUGUAUUUCAUGUUAAUAAUCUUCAGAGUCACUGAAAGUAACUGAUACUGAUUAGUCAUAAACUUGUGUUGUUAAUGAAACAUAAUUUGAGAUACAAAUAUAUGAACCAUUCACUAACUCAGGUAAUUUGCCCCGUCUGUUUACUGUUUUAUUGAUAUUGCUCAGUCCAAAUUAUUUCAAAUUAUUAAUUAAUAAAAUAUUUUUUUGUUAUUUUAUAUAACAGAAUAGACCAGCUGAACUGAUUGCGAAAUUUCUGGAUGAGAAGCUUCGUGCUGGCAACAAGGGUACGUCUGAAGAAGAGUUGGAGGGUACACUUGAUAGAGUGUUGGUCUUAUUUAGAUUUAUUCAAGUAAGCUAAUUACUUAUUUUCCCUCUGUUUGUUUCUGUGAUACACUAUUUCUACUUAGUGGUUCGCAUAUAUGCUGCAAGAAUGUAUUAAUACAGAAAGAACCUAUUUUAUUUCAUGAAUGCUGCAGGGAAAAGAUGUCUUUGAGGCAUUCUACAAAAAGGAUCUAGCGAAAAGAUUAUUGUUGGGAAAGAGUGCAUCAAUUGAUGCCGAAAAGUCAAUGAUUUCAAAAGUAAUUAAUAUGCACUUGAAAAUAUUACUGAAAGAUUGCUGAAAGGUUACUCUUAAGUUUUUGACAUUGUAUCAGUAUUUCUAAUGCCCAUAUUAAUAUCUCCUUUUCAGCUGAAAACUGAGUGUGGAAGUCAAUUCACAAAUAAACUUGAAGGGAUGUUCAAGGUAUGCAAUCUCAAUCUGUCUUCAUAGGGAGCUUAAUCACAUCUGAAGCUAUGAUUACGUUUAUUGAUUGGUGCAAACCAUGAUUCUGUUUCUUAGUUAAAGUUCAAAAAGAAAAUUAAUACAUUUUUGAACUUUUAAAGGCAUAUGAAUAUGAGUCUUUGACAUACAUAUUCAUGGUAUCAAAAGUAGGAUGUCUUUGUUUGUUGCAAACUUGCAAUCAUGUGAGUAUUUUCUUGAUUGGACCAUAAAUCUUUAUUCAGGAGCUAUACCAUUGUUUAGAUACCUGGGCAGGUCGAGCUGUCCGACCCAACACCCAUAGCCUUUGCCGGGUUGUGUUACCCAGAAGAUCAUAAUUUUAAAAAUCCCAUCUGACUUGCCAAGUCAAAUGGUUGGAGCAUUCACCUGCCGAGGCUGUCUCAUGUAGAAAAAAUAAAGAAAUUGUGGUGAGAUGGAGCUCCAAUCCUUUGACUCUUUUUUUUUUUGUCUUAAAAAAUAAAAAACAUAAGCUCUAAUCUAUUUAUACUUUCUUGUUCUUGACUGAGAUUCGAGACCAGUGAGGUCCAUUAGCAGGGUCCUCCUUGCUGUCCUCCUCUUCUUGGACUAAGCUGGCAAAGCCCUAGCAUGGCAGAGCUGCUGCUGCUGCCUUGUUUAGGGCUGAGCUGGUGCUGCUAGAACAAGAUUGAGAAGGCAAGGAUGGAGAUAGGCCAAAGGUGCAGGUUGGAGGGGAGACCCUAGUAAGCAGGAUUGAAUGGAGGUCAGUCAGGCAUGCUGGACAGAGGUCCAGGUGGACUUGGAAGAUGGUUGAGGCAGCAGAUUGAGGUGAAGUAGAGGUCAACAUGGAGGUUGAGGUCAGUGGAUGGAACUGUGGAAGGAUGUGGGUAAUUAGAAAUGAGAAGGGAAAGGGGAUGAUCAUAUUUUGGGAAUCGAGUAGUGAGUAGGGCUGAAGGUAUUUUAACAAUAGGGGACUUUGGUUCUGGUGGAACCGUGGUUGGACUGCAUUUGAACUAGUGACCUGUGAUCUGCAUCUAAAAAUGGUUCAAUCCAGGUCACUGGGUUCCGAACACUAUUAUGAUGGUUUUUGUUUUUGCUUAACUCGAGGAGGAGACUUGUUUCUAAUCGGUCAACAUACAAAUUGAAGUUCGUUUAAAUGGUUCUGCAGGCUUUUAACCUGCGAGUUAUUCAUAAGCAGAAGUUGGACAUUGUGUCUUGUUUACCUAUUCUUUUGUUUUGAUUUACAGAUGGCAUCAAGGUUUUGCAACUGCUUAAAAUUAUGUGAUUUGAACUAUUGACUUUAUUGUAUAUGAGAUUUGAGUCUUUUCUCUGCACCUCCACCAUUAGUAACUGAUAUUGGUUGAUAUUAAUCUUUGAGUGCUGUUUCAAUAGCAAACUUUAGGCCACCUCUUGUGCUUUGGGGGUUCAACUUCAAAGAUCGAUAUGCUUCUUUUUGAAUAUGUAGUGCUGUCAAAUAUGUCCACCUUGGCAUCUAGACCAUCAUCACAUUUUACCCUUAUUUUUUUUGGUCGCAUUUUUGGUCCUUUGGUUCUCUAAUCUAGUUUCUUAGCUAGGCAGUGUAGGCUUCUUUGUUUCUUAGUUUCUUGCUUUCUUCCAUCUUCAUCUUCUUCCUUUGCAUUGUUUCCUUUGUAAUGACUGUUAUCAGAGAGUCGAUUUCUUGAUGGCUGCGUGAAGUGUCAAAUUCUGAGUUGAUGAAAAUAGGGGUUUAUAAAGCAUGUGCUUGCUGUAUAUAUCAAGACCUAAUCUGUUAAUGCUGGCAUGCAUGUGAGGUAAUGGAAUUUGGGAUAUAUCAUAUCUCUUUAAAAUAGUUACACCCUGGCUAUUUUCAAACAUCCAAUACCACUUUUCCAUGCUAUUGAUGCAUGAAGACAGAAAUGCCAAGUUCUCCAAAAUCUCAUGUGUUUAAUGUAAAGUUUCAAGUGCUGUCUUGUUUCAUUAUGUGCCAGGCCACAAUCGGGGCUUAGCAGGGAUGGGCAAGAAGCCAAUUGAUGUAUUCUUUAAAAUAUUUUUGGUUAAAUAAGGCUUACUAUAAUCAUUUUUAAUUUUGUCAUUCUGCAGCAUGGGAGCAGGCAUGCGCAGUGUGCCCAUUGGUACUGUCACUUAAAACAUUGGUUUAUGUUGUAAUUCAGGUCAUAUUGCUAGUAUCUCUCGCAAUAUGAUGAAUGACUUACCUUAUCGUGGGACUGGUAGUGGCAACAAAAUGAUCCCAAAAAAGAUUAGGUGACUAAACGGUGGUGAUACCUUACAAAAUCGAAUUGAUCACAUCUACAUCAUAAAUGUAAGAAAUAAAUACUUCUUCAACUGUAAGGUCAAUGGUGCAAAAUUGUACAGUAUCACUUAUGGUGGUCAACUAUGUAUGAAACCUGUAAAAAGUAGUUAGCAAAAACAACUUACCUGUCAAACCUUUCAACUUGCAUGGACAAAGGGGAAAAAAUAAAGAAACAGAGAGAAGUCAUAAGGAAGAUAUGCCAAUUUCUAGAGUUUAGCUGUCAGUUUAGAUGCACUUUAUGGACAAUUGGAUCCAGUCUACAUGUAUUGCGACAUGCAUAUUAACUAAUAUUUGUGGUCAAAGUUAAAAGAAAGUCUUUUAGAUGUCUUUAGAUGUUUGUUUCUUCUGAUUAGUUAGAUAAUAAAAUAUUUAACAUUUAUGAUUUCAAUAAAUGCUUCAAAUUCUAAAUUUCUAAAUGUAAAUGUUUUGUGAAUUUUGAAUCUCUUUACAACAAAAUGGAUUUAGGAUGCCUUUUUUCAUUCACCUUGAUUUUAAAUGAACGAGCUUACAUCAUUCUAAGGAAAAAAUUCCAGUUUAAGCUUUAAUUUUAGUUAAUGAGGGAACUUUUUGUGUUAAAAGAUGUCCAACAAGAGACUUUUUAAAGAUCCUUUAAGCGUGAAACAAGUUCUAGCUUCAGUCUAGCAAACAGACAUGUUUUGUUACUAGUGUUUUGACUUUUGAUAAUAAUUUCUGGCCACAUAAGCAAGCCUUAUUUUGCUUUAUUUUGUGGUCAUCUUAGACAGUUGAAUGGUGUGUAAAUGAGUUUGAGACUUAAAUAUCUACCGUCAACAUGUGAAAUUGUGCUAAUUGGUUGAGUGGGUAAAGUCUGUUGGUGUUCACAUGUGAGACUUGGGUUCAUUCCUGUUCUCACCACGACUUUCACACAGGCGUCCACUGAAAAGAGAUGUCUGCCAGAAUGAGGGGGGGCUUUGGUUGAUGCCAAAGCAACCAGGAAGAGGAUGUGAGGAUUUCAUUUUCAUGGAAGUUGUGAAAAGGAGUCGGAAGAGUUCACAUUAAUUAUUAAAUGUAUAUAUACCCUUCGACAGGCUUGAUUGCUGAAGGACUGUUACUGAUGUUUCCAAUCCAAAUAACUGGUAUAAAAUAUGAUUAUUGUUAUAUGAAUCAUGGAAGCAUUUAUGGAAAAGUAAUGGUGAAAGAGAUGUAAAAGUUUGCAUACUUAUCAUGAAAAAUUAUGGGGCCACAACUGGAAAACAUAUACUAAUUGCAAAGUGUUGCAAGUGAGUCUUCUAAAUUCUAAUCACCCAAUCUAUGACAUGAUUCCUGAACAUUUACCUUUUCAUGAGAACAAAGUUAGUUUUUUUCAAAAAAUUGAAAUGGUUUUCCUUUUGGGUUCUUACUAAAUGUUCAUCUAAGGUGAUAACAAGGUUUUUGGUCAUUAUAAUUUUAGCCUUUUUCUAGAAUUUAAACUUUCAAGUUAUACUGCUUCGAUCGUUCUGCUUGGCUAAGUGAUGAAUAUUGAACACCUGCUGGUGCAUGAACCAGUCAAUAUUUAUUGAUAAAUUUCAUGAUCUGUAUAAAUCAAUCUUGGAUGGUCUGACAGUUUUUUAAUAAAUUUGUUUCCUAUCUCUAAUUCACUACUGACUAAAGCAUUCAGUGUAUGUGUCUAAAUCUUAAGUGGUCUGCUACAUUUUGCUUUUGUUUCCAAUCUCUGGUCCACUAAUACUAAAGCUUUUAACAUAUUUGAAUGAUGCUUUGAACAAAAUUCAGGCAUCGGCAGCCUCCAAUAGGAACAGUAUGAAUUCAAAAUGUUGAUGCACUUUUUAUGUUUAUCAAUGUGUAUAUAUUGUGAUACCUGUGCCAUGUUUCAUGUUCUGGCUUCAUGCAUGUUGAAUGACAGGAUGUGACCAUUUAUUCCUUGAUCUUACUAUAUUGUUGUAGGAAACAAAUUAAUGCCAGUCUCAGUAGUCUGUCUUUGCAUUCUAAUAUGAACUAAAUAAAAUGCAUGUAAAUAUCUAUGUAGAGAUUAAAUAGCAUAUAUUUAUGUAAGAAUCUUGAUGCAUCGUUGCUGUGAGAUAACAACACCAAUAAUGGUCUCCAAGUAACAUGGCUUAUAGGUUCUAGGUGCAGUUUCAUUUGCAAAGGAGUCUGUCUGUGUGAGCUAGAUUAAUAUCUGAAGUUGCCAGACCAGUUAGUCCUCAAAUGUCAAAGAUGGCAGCCUCCAAAAAUCUAGGCAUUGGGACAUAGCUGGAUACGUAUCCAAAAUAAAGUAAUCAAAGAGGGAAAGGGAGUCAUAUAUUGCUGUCUAACAAAUGAUUGAUGGAAUAAUCGUGUUGUUUAAGUUAUUUGUUAGGUUUAUUUGAGGUUACUUAAGAUGUAUGGAGAUACUUAAAUAGAUAUUAAACUGUGAUAAUUUUAUUUAAAACAUAUCGACACAUUAUUUGAAGUGUCUGUAAUUUGUGAUAACUUUAUGUGAAAAACUCCCUUCAAAAAUCUUUGUAUUAAAAACAUAAUGGCACUUCUUUUGAAGUGUCCACAUAACUUUGAUAAUUUGAUAUUAAAAACAUUUGGAAACUUCACUUGAAGUGCCCGUAUAAUCAGUCGGAAGUGAAGGUGGCAGCAAUUGGAGGGGAGUGUCAAAAAUCUAACCUUUGCUGAUGUGAGUGGGAGGGAGAGAGUGACUGGAAGUCAAGGUGACUCAAGGUUGGGUCUCGAGGGGUUAUGAAGGUAGGGAACUGCCCGAACCAUGUUGUACCAAGGAGAACUGGAUGAUUCUGCUCAGUAAAGGUCAAUUUCGGCCAGUUCGAGGCCUAUUCUGAGCCGAACCUGCAUUUUGACCUGAUUUUUGCUCAGAAUGGGUCGGUACAUCCCAAACUGGGUGGCUCGGGUUAAGACAGCCAACCUUAAUGUAGAUAUGUGAGGGUAAAGUCAGAAUUAUAUGCCACUCUGGUUAUGAAACAUAACUAGACUGCCAAGGCCACUGAAUCUGUUGGGUGGAUGUCUGGUCAGGACACCACCUCCCAGGACCUUUUCAGCACCACGCGAUGCAGCAGGAAGAAAGAAGAAAUAAAACAAAAAACAAUCAAAAUACGUGGAUCAGCUACAAAAGGGCUCACCUCCACAGGGCAUGCAAACUUCAUUAUGAAAAAGAAAUUUUAUAAGAGGAGAUCUCUUCCUCAACCCUUGUACAUCCAAUUUCUCUUUUCUGAAGUUCUCCUUCACAAAAGCUCUCUCUUGGAAGACCCCCCUGAAUUCCUGAAGCGACCGGCGUUCGUUGUCCAGGAGCCUCCUGCUCCUCUUUCAGCGACGCGCGUUCUUCUUUCUCUCCUCAUAGAUUCCGUACGGCGUCUAUGGCAAAAAACCAGACCACUACCUUCUUUCUGUGAGGCACAGGCCUUUUAAAGGCUAAAAACCCAAUUAGAUUAAGUUUAAGAUUCCUUAAUCAAUCCAAAUCAAGUCCCUGAACCAUCAGAUCAAGAUCGAGAACUCCCUGGGCCGUCCGAUCGCGAUUGAUCCACGUAAUAGUGUCGUGGACCGCGCGAAACGCCUGGAAAAUGCCUAGGCGGUCCACAUGGUCCGCCAUGGACCGCCCGAUCCACGGUGGACCGGGGUACAGAGCCCAGGCACGGCGCCUGGGCUUGGGCCGGCUUGUGUGUGUGGGCCUGCGCCGCGCCCGUGCCGGGCACUUGGGCUCGNNNNNNNNNNNNNNNNNNNNGUGUCCCGCGUGUUGGCCCCACCUGGGCUGCGCUCCGCCGCCUGUGGCCGCACCGCUGCCUCUCUACCGGCCCACCGCCGGCAGUCCUCUAUCGCCUCGGGUCUCGUGCCGACUUCAAAAGCUUGUAUCUCCAUCCGAGCUCCGUUUGGGGUGAACUUGAUCUCGUUGGACUCUAUUUUUCGCUGUGGAUCUCGCUGUGGGCUCAAUGUGGGCUGAAUCUCGAGGCAUCAAAUCCUAAUAAUCUCCAUCUCGACUCGAUAUUCGAUCUUCUCCUAACUCCAAGAGCUUCUGGAUCUCUUCGCCCCUAUGUCCUGAGGCAAUCGUCUGCUGAUCAUGGAUGGGCAAAUAUGGAAGUCGAGCCAGGCUGCUCGAUUUCAUCUUCGUCAUAUGCUGUGCUCCUCUUGACCUGAGACCUGCUCGGGGCAUCGUCCUGCGGCAAUAGGAAUCUCACCUUGUGACGUUGCCUCUCGUCCUUCCGAGUCUCUUGUCUCAUGUCCGAUCCACCUCCUGGAGCUUCACCUCGUUCUGGACUCCUGACUCUCGAAGCUCCACCUUGCACUGAGCUUCCUGUCAGAUAAUAAUAUCUUCUGCUCUCUUUUUUUUUCUUCAGCACAAUCCUAUUGCUGCGUAGCACCCUCAGGAUUCCUCCAUCAGCUACCGUCCUGUAGCCUCUCGAAUCCAGUCUGCUGAGUGAGAUAAGAUUUCGUCCGAAAUUGGGUAUGUAUCGGACCUCCCUCAAUCUCUUCACUGUACCGUCAUGUGUCCUACAGUUGACCGUCUCAAUGCUUCUGAUCGCACAGUUCGAUCUAUCCGGCAGAUAUACAGUGCCCUCACUGUUCUCUAGGGAGUCAAACUGCUCCUUUCUGCAAUAUACAUGAUAGGAGCAUGCAUAAUCUAAUAUUCACUACUGGAAAGAAGUAAAUACCUCGUCAGAUAUCUCCAGGACAUCUCCAUCUGAAUCGCUGCUGGCCGUCGCUACAGCAGCCACCGUCCGAUUUUUGAGUUGAGGGCAAUCUCUGGCUAGAUGCUCUAACUCACAUCGGUAACAUCUGAUUUUGCUCAAAUCCCUCCUGGGCUUAGAUCGCCCUCGUCGCGAUCUCCUGUCGCUCCGUCUACCGCCUCCUGCUCCUCCAGAAGUCACUAAAGCUGAGCUACCGCCAUCUGAGCUCGAAGCUGGGUUCUCUCUCCUGAGAACCUCGUUCUGGAGUAUCGCCGUGGUGACCUCGUCCAUCUUGAUAGUGCUCUUCUCCACUAAAAGAGCAGUCGUCAAGGACUCGUACGAAGGUGGAAGCAAUGCUAGCAAAACCAGUGCCUUGGUCUUCUCCUCAACAUUCUCGCCAAUGCUGAGGAAGUCGGUGAGGAUCUUCUGGAAGUGGCUCAGAUGCUCCUGCACNNNNNNNNNNNNNNNNNNNNGUACACCCAACUUUCUCUCUCCUGAAGUUCUCCCUGACAAAAGCUCUCUUUUGGAAGACCUCUCUGAACCCCUGAAGCGACCGACACCGCUGUCCAGGAGCCUCCUGCUCCUCUCUCAGCGAUGUGCGCUCUUCUUUCUCUCCUCACAGGAUCCGUAUGGCGUCCACGGCAAAAAACUAGACCGCUACCUUCUCUCUGUGAGGCAUAGUCCUUUUAAAGGCUAAAAAUCCAAUUAGAUUAGGUUUAAGACUCCUUAAUCAACCCAAAUCAAGUCUUUGAACCGUCGGAUCAAGACCGAAAACUCCCUGGGCCAUCCGAUCGCGAUCGGUCCACGGAAUAGUGCCGUGGACCGCGCGAAAUGCCUGGAAAAUGCCCAGACGGUCCACGUGGUCCGCCAUGGACCGCCCGAUCUACGGUGGACCGAGGUAUAGGGCCUAGGCACGGCACCUGGGCCUGGGCUGGCCAGUGUGCGUGGGCCCGGGUCGUGCCCGUGGGCCCACUCGUGGGCUGGGCCGCCUGCCUGGGCCGCGCGCCCGCCUGGGCCGUGCGUCCCGNNNNNNNNNNNNNNNNNNNNUCCGCCGCUUGCGGCCGCGCCGCCGCCGCUCUACCAGCCUGCUGUCGGCCGCCGGCGGUCCUCCAUCGCCUCGGAUCUCGUGCCGACUUUAAAAGCUCGUAUCUCCUCCAUCUGAGCUCCGUUUGGGGUGAUAUUGAUCUCAUUGGAUUCCAUUUCUCACCGCGGACCUCACUGUGGGCUCAAUGUUGGCUGAAUCUCGAGGCGUCAAAUCCUAACAGAAUCCAUGAUUCAGGGCAAACCUCAACCUCAAAGUAUAAGAGAGAAGAAUAGUGACAGAAUGAUAGACACUAUUUUCCAAUUCAAAUUUCAUCUCUUCUACUGCUCGACUAUCAUACCUAGACUUAACUAACUAAACCAAUUGUGACUCUUAAACUAAAUUUGAUAGAAGAAAAAAAAAAAAGGAGAAAAUGGUCUUUUGCAUUCCUAAUUCCAAUUAACACUUUAUCCACCACAUUGUUCAAGUCAAAAGGAAAUAUUCUUGGUUCUGUUACAUGCCUAAAGGAUAAUUUUAUUGAGGCAUCCUGAAAGUAUAUGCAAAAUAUAAUGGAUGCGGUACUGCAUUCCCUGUAAAUGUGUAUCCUAGUGCACUCAGUCUAAAUCCACUGCCUAUACAGUAUUGAAGUCUUCAAUUAAUCAGGAUCGACAUAUUUUCACAUGUUGAAGUAGAAGUCUUUAUAUGAGGCUUCUCUCAAAGGAUCGUGUGUCUUUCAUACUGAUUUGAUCUGAAGACAGAGUGAGAAAAAGAAUGAAAACAGUAGAAACCGAGGUUGCAAAUGAAUCCUCAGGCACGAGUAACCCAAACUGGAAAAGAUGUCCAUGAAGCCCAAAAACAAAAGAGAAGUAACUCAAUAUCUUCUACAAAAAUAUUUCAUUUUUUCUUUUAAUGAUGGCAACAAGCCUUUGACUAAAGUGUUCAAUUAGGCUUACCAAAUGUUAUUUUGUUUUUAAUAAGAUAGGGGGGCUUUAUUUGUGCAGUGCCCAUAUAAAUCAUCAUUACAUUAAUUAAAUAAUGGUUCUGUCCAUCACUAAUUGAAGAUACUUAUGUAUUUUUACACUCUAAUGCGUCCAAUUACUGAAGCCAAUCAGAGAGGAACUCUCAUAGAUUUAUUUGUUGUUGAGAUAUUUUUUGGCUGAAUCCCCUUUCUUACAUUGACAAAAUGCCACAAACAUUCUCGAAUGUUUCUUGGUGUGGUCUGUAUUAAAAUAUUGUUUUGUCUUUUCAUGUCUUUUAUUGAAUUGGAUCUCCUAUAGCCCAAUCAAAUCCCCAUUAUGCUGGAUUUAUAGCAGUUUCCAUCAUCUAGAUUUGCAUCAUACCCAGAAAUAACACUAGGGCAUAACGUAGGGCACUUUUUUGGAAGCCCUUGAGUGCUUCAUCGAUAUAUAUAUAUAUAUAUAUAUAUAAUAUGAAGGAGCAAGUAUUGGAAUGAUGCUAAAGGAAGAAUCCACUAAAUAGGAAGUGGAUACCAGUUUAUGCUAUUAUGAUUGGUCGCAGCACUUCAUAGUUCAUAAUGUAUACUUAUAUAAUAUACAUGAAUAUAUGAUAUGAACAUAUAUACAGAACAACUAUUUGUGGACCAGCUGAUCAGGCAAUUCGGCUCUACAUAGACCAUAGACAUAGCAUGUCUUAGCACAUUUAUUGCUCACAAAACCCCUCAUAGUCAUUAAUGGAUGCCAUGACUUAUAUUUUUUUUGACAAGUAAAACUUCUUUCUGUUACACAGUUUGAUGUACAGUUCCCUUUGAUCCAUGUGGCAUUCAUGGCGGCUUCUUUGUUGUUUGGUAGACCUUUGUCAGUUCCUAUUACUAUUAUUUGAUUUUCCAGUGUAUACAAUGCCAAAUAAGCCUUGAGGAGUAUCUGAAAGUCAUUUGAUGCCAUGGACCACAUAAUAUCCAUUAAUAGAUGAAGAGAUGACCUUGCUUGCAGGUCAACAGCUGUAUUUCCAUCUCUUGCAUGUUGCAGAAAUUAAUUUUUGCUUUUCUUCCUGAAUACUCCAUGUUUGAGGAAGAGGGUAAUGAAUGCCCAAGGAAUUAGAGACCUUGCUGAUUCAAUGGUGCAGAUCUUUAGGAUCCCUUUCAAUCAUAAGUUCUUUUCCAUGUAAGCGUUUAUUUUUCUACCAGUUUGAGACUGUGAAGGAGGCCUUGAGGUUGAAAUAUGUUUAUGCUUUUGUAGGAUAAAUAGCCGGGAAUACUAAAAGGUUUCUGUCACUAUCCCUUAAUAGUUCUCUAUAUACAGAAGAUUUGGAGACAUAAACAUCAUUAUAAAGCUUGAAAGCACGGGGUGGUGGAGAAAUCCAUCAAGUAGUGUCUUUAUUCUUGGUGUGUUACGGCGGGCAGCUGCAAGGAAAUUAUUGACCAAUCGAUUGUUAUUUAUAAAUUAUUUAUCAAUUAUCUGCGCUUGCAAUUUGAUGAGCAUGCUGUCUGAUCAUGAUCUUUUGAAUAUUUUUUAAUAGUUUCAUGCUGAUAUAUUCUCAGGACAUUGAGUUAUCGAAAGAGAUUAAUGAUUCCUUUAAGCAAUCAUCCCAAGCCAGAACAAAACUUCCAACUGGUAUUGAAAUGAGCGUCCAUGUCCUAACGACUGGGUGGGUGCCAUUCAUUUAAUGCCUGUCAUAUGAUUUAGGUCUUGAUAUUUGAGAUGUGUUAUUCUUGUAGCUGACUCCAAUUUCUAAUUUUAUGAUAUUUCUUUUUUUUUUGUUCCCCUGGUGCUCUGCAGGUAUUGGCCAACAUAUCCUCCUAUGGAUGUUCGACUUCCACAUGAACUGAAUGUUUAUCAGGUUAGGUCACAGACGAUGUGUGCUAUGAAUCUUUGCUUCAUGCUUUGAUCUGUCUUCUCUGAAAGUUAUUUCUGAUUCUUUUUUGCUUUGCACCAUUAUAGGAUAUAUUUAAAGAGUUCUAUUUGAGUAAGCACAGUGGGAGGCGCUUGAUGUGGCAAAAUUCAUUAGGUCACUGUGUUUUAAAAGCAGAAUUUCCAAAGGGUAAAAAGAAUUGGCAGUGUCAUUAUUCCAGGUGAGUAUGUCUUCGAUCUCUGCUCGAUUCCACUAUUUCUUUAGUUUGACCUCCUUCUCAGCUUUGUAUGACUUCAUGCUUGUUCCAGACUGUUGUAUUAAUGCUGUUCAAUGAUGCUCAAAAGCUCAGUUUUCAAGAUAUUAAAGACUCAACUGGCAUUGAUGAUAAAGAGCUUAGGAGGACUCUACAGUCACUUGCAUGUGGCAAAGUCCGAGUUCUCCAGAAGGUGCAUGCCGCCUUUCAUACUUGUUCGAUUCUGUUGGCCCAAUUGUUUUAUUCAAAUGCUGUGCAUGUUUCAGAUCCCAAAAGGAAGAGAAGUAGAGGAUGAUGACACAUUUGUGUUCAAUGAAGAAUUCAGUGCUCCUCUCUACCGUAUAAAGGUAAGCUCUCCUCUGUUCAAAUCAGUAUUAUGGAAUAUCAAGCAUGCAGCUAGAGCUAACAUGUCAUGUUACCAGGUAAACGCAAUUCAAAUGAAGGAGACAGUGGAAGAAAACACAAGCACCACUGAAAGAGUAUUUCAAGACCGUCAAUAUCAGGUUUGUUUGAACUGUCUGACUGUAAAAAGGCUUGCCCUAUUAGACUUUUUCUUGUUAUAUGGCCGGUCAAAUGCAUGAUUGAGGAAUGAGAUCCCAAAUGAAAUGAACGUAUAGAUGAGUACAUAGGAAAAAAUUGCAAACUAGAAUUAUUACAGGAGGUAUUGUUACAGACUGAGACGUUCAGUCAUAUCUUUCAAAUAUUACACUGUUAUCUCAAUAAUUUAGUUAAGUAAUCCUGUUGACUGAAAGAUACAAACAUUCCUCUGAUUAAAAAUAGAGGAAAUAAACUUUACAAAGGGGAGGCCAAGGACCAGUGAAGUAAAUGUUUGGCUGUUGGUGAUUUUAGUAAGAAGAUAUAAAUGGGAGAAAGAUAUCCACAUCUUCACCCAAAUGCCUUGUCCCAAAAUUACAGGUUUGGCUAUGUGGAUUGGAGUAUGCUUUAUCAAAAAUUUCGCGAGUUACAACUGACUAACUCUCACCCUAGCACCGACCCUGAGUGAAUUGGAGUCUUAGCAAAAGCAAUUUUGGAAAAAGGUGCCUGCUUUGUAAUAACGAAGACUGUGGCAGGAAGAGAAACCUACCUCAUGAGCUUAUAAAUCAAGAAGCAAAUAUCCACAGCAUUUCAGGUUUUGGGAUGCCUACCAGGCAAAAUAGAAAGAUUAGAUAUAUUAAAUUGCACUUAUCUACUAACUCCUGGAUUGCAUGACAAUGGGGCAUUACUUCCGGCAGGGGGAAAAUGUAGAAAAGAAGACAUAUUGGAUUGCAUCAGUGCAUAAAGAAGUGGAAUGAAAAAUACUUCUUCCAAGACAAUAAAGUUGGGACAGAGGAGAUAUUCUUAUAAGUUGUUAAAUUUGAACGCUAAGAACAUGGAGGCAGGCAGAUGAUUGAGUAGUUGGAGUCAAGGACAAUGAGAAUUUGUAAGAACAGUCUUUACAAUCGCAAACUAUCCCACAAGAUUUAGGCAGUAGAUGAAAAUCUCUCGAUUAAAAGCUAGGUGGGUAAAGAGCAGAUAUACCUUUUAUGUCAUGUAAUAGUCAAACAUCAUUUAGACUUCCAGGAGGGCUGGUAAACAUAAUAUGAUCGUAGCUGAUUUGAGGAUAUGAAGUGGAUGAUAGACAAAUGUUAGAAAGAUCAAGAGUGAGGCUAGGUAGAAAUUUGGUGAGAAAAUCAUUCAGUUUCAAGAAGUAUGUUGUUGGCUGGAGUCUUGGAUGCCACCUUGCAGAUGUCUGGUCAUGUGUUAUUUAGGCUGAGCAUUGGAAAAAUGGUGAAGAAGAGGAACUAGAAGGAAAAUUUUUGAUCAUGGAUCUUGUGCAGAAAAGGAAACUCAACUUUUAUGGGAUGAGACUUAUUUUUAGCCUCUUUGUGAAAGAAUCGACAAAUCAUAUUGACAAAUUUGGGUUUUAUACAACUACCGUCACUUGCUAAUGGCAUGAGAAAGCUUUCUUGUGCAAAUGAUAUAUGGGUGGAAGUCUUUAUAAGUUUGGAGUAGAUGUGUCCUCGACAAUUUCAUUGUGUCCCCAUUUCUUUCUGUACUCAUUGCAGGUUGAUGCGGCUAUAGUCCGUAUCAUGAAGACAAGGAAAGUACUAAGCCACACGCUUUUAAUAACUGAGCUCUUUCAGCAGGUAAUUUUACGUCAAUCUGACAAGUGAACUCCUUUCUUUAUUCACUUUGAAUGGUAUUCACGCGGUGGCAUGUGUUUCUUUCAGCUAAAAUUUCCAAUAAAACCAGCAGACUUGAAGAAAAGGAUAGAGAGCCUCAUCGACAGGGAAUAUCUGGAACGGGACAAGAACAAUCCUCAGAUCUACAAUUACCUGGCUUAACCCCUUCUGCACGCUCAAGAAACCUCUUCUACCAGCAAAUGAGGGAGUUGACUCCUCUCGAAGGUCAUGCUUCGGGGGUUGCUUUAGCAAUCUCUUGAUGUCAACCGGUGUACAGGAAGAAGCAACAUUUUUCCUUUUGUUCCGAGUGACAAGUCAAUACUGUAAAAAAUCAAGUUCCACUGUGUUUUUUCUUCUUGUUGUGGAAUUAAUCAUUAUAAAUUUUUUUAAAACAAGUGCUCCUUCGCACGUUGCAGCAAUAUUUUCACUUCCUGCUGCUGUUGAAGAUGAGAAAAAUCACAGGCCUGAUCAUCGCAGUUUAUUUUGUUUUUAACCUUUUUGAAUCCCGUGAUGCCCUGUCCUCCCUCUCCUGCUUGCCGUUGACAAAAGCUAGCUUAACAAAAAUUUGAUGUCAGCCAUUUCAGAUUAUUAUUAUUAUUAUUAUUAUUAUUAAUGAAAUGGUCAUGUUGAAGGCAAAUCCUCUAUUAACCAGAGUUGUAAGAGAAUCCUGCGCACGGGAUGGUUGUUUUUGGCAAUGGAAGUGCUCCGGACGGGCACAAGAAGUCAGGCUCUCAGGCAGUGGUAGUAUCCAGAAAACCUAGCCGUCUAGCCGUACGGUAUGAAUGUUAAAAGCAAUUGGAGGUAAUCAUUUAAGAUGGAAGUUGUUAUACCGGGGACGUAAUUUUUGCCGGGAGAAAAACGAGUUUCUUCAUAAGAUCAGUAUAAAUCAUUGAUUGAUUUCUAGUGCAUAUGAUGAAUCUAUGUUUGGUGAACCGAUGAGCAUGCAUGUUUGAAUUGAUGUAUUUAUAUUAUUGUAAAUGUGUUGAUGAUCUGGGAUAAAGCAUAUCAUGCAAAACAAGUACAAAUUCUAGAUACCGGGCCAUUGCAAGUGACGCUGACAUUGAAGACGUACAAUAGGUUUCAGUUCUUGCUCCGGUCGAACUCUAGCAAUGAGAUGUUCCUUCCCAGAAUUAAACUGGAGGGGAAGCCUCAUCUACAUGUUAAAUAUGGUUCCUAGGAUGAAAGACUUUUGAGUCCAAAACAAACUGACUACUCUCAUAUAUGAAGAUGUAGAUUGAUCGUGUAAAUUCCUUGUGGCAUACGAAGAUCUCGCUCGACUCUCAUGGAUAGUUGCAUCUCAUGAGAAGAUCAAGGGAGGGGCUUUGUAAAAAAUCUUGAAAUGCUGAGAUUUUGAAUUUAUAAAUUAAAUUACAAAAAUUCCCGAGAGCCAUGUUCUCGUAUAUGAAUGCUUGUAAAACUUUGAAGUGCUUUUGUAUUAGGACCGGGCUGACAGUCAUACAGAGGGCACGUGAAUGACACAGAGGUGAAGACAGUCAUGUGAACUUAGAAAAAAAUUGAUGCCAUGGGGGUACUUGGAUUUUGCAUAUCAUUGAGCUAUGGUAGUUUUUUUCCCACAUUUUUUUAACAUCAACAAAUGCAAGUCCCUCCAAGAAAUAUGCAAUGGCUGAUUGUAGAUUGAUGAGUUAGCACACCCUACAUGGUUGAGCGAAUAUAGUUAUUGGACCACGUAGGAUGUAACUAGCAAAUUGGAAAAGAGGUCCUUUUCUAAGUCUGCCUCUAUAUUUUUGUAGUACAUGAAAAGUGUUGCGGAAGAUUUUCGACCACAAACGAAUACGGUUGGAAUAAGUCGGGGAUCACUAGAGUGGCAUUUUUGUAAAAUAAGUCUCAAUCGGAGUUGGUUCCGGUGAGGACCUUCCGAUGGUCAAGUAAGAAAUCUGGCACAACAGAGGAGGAGAAGAGGGAGUUGUAGAAAAGCAUAGGGUGUAUUGAGCACAGACGGGGCAUACCUGAGAGUCAUCUUUUUUACCUCUAUUUAUAAAGAGAUUAGUAAUGAUAAGCCAUAUAGAUUUCGUCACGUAUGUCAUUGAUAGGUGGAUUUUUGUCUGGCGUGUCGCCAGCAGGGAAAGAAAUGUGAUUUGGAUUGAAUAGACGUAUGGACGGCAAGUAAGAUGGUGGUGAUGUGUUCUGACUUGAUGUGCUUUAAUUAAAAGUUAUAAGUGAUCCUUCGACUUGCCUUCAAGAGAAUUGGUUGAUGUCUGAUAUCCAAUCCCUCCUCUGAUGCCGAAGUUUGGAGACUAUCAGAGGUCUAUUAUUUAAAAAAAUUGGUUAGAGAAAAACUGGCUACCUCAUUCGGAUUUGCCAACCCAUAGGCUGAUGGAGAUCGGAUCCGACGGUAGGGGCCGGCCUUUUCGAAAAAGUAAGUUGUAAUAGUAAAAGAUUCUUGAUCUGAUUAGGAGUAAGGAUCGGCCAAGAAUUUCUAGGAAUAACGCCGCCAUCAGGCUUCCCUUGGCCUGAAACCUGAUGUCCAGAUGAUUACUUUAGAGUGGAUCGGCUGGCACAUGGAUCGGUAAGGUAUCUAAACCGAUCAUCGAGAUAGAGAUCGGUGUCGCAACUUUAUUAAUGCUCCUCCAGAAAAAGAAAGAGACUAGGGUCAAGGUUGAAAGGAUCGAUGUCCCAUCAUGUCGAACGGCAGAAGAUGUACUUAAAUGCUUUUGACAUUGAUCAUAAACUCGUUCGGUGUGUAGUGAGCCAUGAAAGAGAUAGUGAGGCGACGUGGCAUACGAUCGAUGAGUGGAGUGAUACGAUUCGAUAGUUAGGCCUACCAAGCCUACGGGGGGGGGGGGGGGGCAUUGCCCGACGUCCCUCAACUUGACUUCUAGUCGGGGAUUGGAAUGGGCAUAGAGCAGUCGAACCCCUUAGAGAUCGGCUCCGCUCAAUGAUUGGCGAAGGCCAGCUUUGGUAUUAAAGGAGAUUCUUCCCCCCAACAGUUAGUAUUAUUUCAGUUUCUUCUUCUUAUAGGUGUUCUUUUAGAAUGUCCAGCUGGCUGAUUCCUAGGCCAGUUAUCAAGAGGAUUCAAACAGUACUCAAAGUACAUCAAAAUUUUCUUCAUCAUUCUGCGGCGACCAAGGUGUUACCCCCUAACAUAUGCCCCAUACUCCCAAGUUCGAAGCUUAGACGAUUCGGAGGAUGGGAGUAUAGCAAAUAGUAGAGGAUGCGCAUCUAUUCGGAGUCAGGGGGAUGUUUUUCAAAAAGGGAGGCUGCUGCAUUAUCUAGUCAUUAAAGGCUAGGGGAGAAGGAAUCGAUCUUCAUGAAAUUCAAAGAGCGGCGCACUAUUGGAGUUUCUCAUAAUGAGCCAUUUCUCCACUUGCACCAACCAAUGAAAAGACAUCAAGUGCUACACGGCUAUUAUUCGCUGAAGAUUUCAAAGUUUGGAUGGCGGUUAGUCUUUAAAGAAAAGGUUUUUGGUGUACUCGAUUUAAUGUUUCUUCUUCGAGUAUACUAUAGUCCCUGUUUGAGGAGAUUUCUUUUAUUUUCAAUUCCUUAGGUCAUCGAUUAUCCUCACUGGCUACUUCCUCCUUUGUUCCUUUACCUCAGUUGACAGAUGGGUUCUCGUUUCUUCCCACUACCUUUCCUUCUUUGCUUUUAUCCUUAAUUCUCAAUGGCCAGCACCGAGGGCUCCGAUGGAAGGUGGUCCUCAAGCUGUUCUCCAGCACUGGAUGAAAGCAUCGAGGGGGACGGUGUCAGAUGUGAAAGCGAGUCAAUUUUUGCAUCAGACACAAUCGAGUCUAUGCUAGGUCCAAAAGAUUUGGAUCUAAUACGAGCUCGAUAUAGGAUUCCUACUUCUUUCAAGUUUGAAUUCCCAAGUGCUAGCAGAAGGCUUGGCAAUUCUCCUGUGGGGUGGAUCGGCUUUUAUGAGGAAUCGUUCUGGGUCGGGCUUUGGUUGCUUAUGUAUCCCUUUGUCGUAAAUGUUUUUUAUUUUUCAACCUCUCUCCUUGUUCUCUAAUCUCCAACUUUUUUCGCUUCAUUAUUGGAUUCAUGGUUGCUUGCUCUUUGGCUUGUAUCCAUCCUUUAUUUUUCUAUUUCAAUUUUUCUUUACCCUAAAGAGGCAUACCAUGGAUUGGUGAUACAUGUCUCCUCCGAAGGGUGCUUUCACCCUGAUAAAGGGGGCUCCUACCUCCAUUCACGGAUGGAAGGAGCGAUUUUUCUUUGUUUCGGAUUCUUCUCUCGAGUCUUGAAUGUUACCAAAUCAGGGUCGGUCAAGGGAGGCUGUAUUCGAUGUCCCGGAGCUGGGGAGGGAGGAUCUUCAUAGUUUUGAGAUAUUGUGAAAGUAUAAGAUCACUUCCGUGGAGGAUCUGCUGUUAGAGUGGGCCCUCUUCCACGUUGGGUUAAGUUCAGCUAUCCCUGAAGGUUAGUUUGGCCGACCCUUAUUUUUUUUUUCAUUUAGUUUUUUAAUUUGUUAACUAUCGAAUAAUGUAGGGAUGAGGUCGGAAGAAAUUGAGGUGCUUCGAAAAGGGGAUGCCCAGUGAUAGCAAAAGAGAAAGGGGGCCCUCUCAGUCGUAGUGGGAGUUACGAAGAAACCACGACCUGCCAGGGUGAGUGCUGGGGGAGCACCUUUAGUGCCUCCCCAUUAGCCGAUGCUCACCCCGUGCCAUCCCCAGAAGUUGAUGUUUUCGAUCUGAGAGUCCUUCCUGCCCCCCAAGGAGGAGAGAUGUCAGCACGCUCUCUCGAUCAAGUGGGUUAGUGGGAAUACUUAGCCGAAGUCCCCAACAACGCCACCAUUGAGGAUUACAAGAAUGCCCGAAGGGCUUUGGAGGAGAUGCUACACGGGCUUGAUGUUUUGAGGGUUGAACAACAAAGCCUUAGACUGCGGUAGAAGGAAUCAGUAUCUUCCUUAGUUUGGAUUAGUUCUUCUGAACCCUUUCUUGGCCUCUUCAUAUUUUUACUGGCUGGGUUUGAUUGGUUCAGCUAGGGCAUCAAGUUGCGACUUUUAUUAUCUCGAUGAAAGAAGCAGAGUCAAAGCUUGCUGAGGCAUACAGGAGGUUAAGGGCUGCCAAGGCUGAAGCCAUUCACUUGAGGAACGAACAGGAGAGGGUGAAGAUGAACAAGGAGGAGGACAGGAAGAGGGCCGAAGCCGACUUGGCUAUGGAGAAGGAGAGGCAUCGGGCAGCAUAGGCCGCAGUCCUCGAGGUUGAAAAAAGAUGGAAAGAUAAGUCACCGAAGAGGGGUGGCCGGCUAUGGAGGCCUUUCAAAAAUCCACGGAGCUUUCCAAAAUUAAGAUGGAUUUCGCCCUCGAGGUAUAUGCUCUGGGUAAGGGGGACUGCCAGGUGAAGGUUGCAGAAUGUUUCUCUGACCUUGACUUGGCUUUUUUGGGAGCUGCUGGAAAAGCAGAAGCCGUAGAGGGUUCGACUUCAGCUGAGGCUGAAGGGAUGCAGGAGUUUGGAGUGAUUGCUGUAGAUGUCCCACCAUUUGCCAAAGACAUAGCUGAAGGGACUUCUGCUCCAACAGCAUCCACCAUGCCUCCAGCUUCAGUGGGGGCAUCACCGACGGAAGGUGCCUCAGAGCCUUCCGUGGCCCAGGCCGAGGUCAGAAGAUUUAGGAUGUUAUUGUAUUUUCAUUUGUGCCUAGACAAUGUAAACAAAUUUUUGGAUUAAUAAAAAUGAAAAUUUUACUUCUCAUUAGUGUUGUCUUCUUUCUAUGAGAAUAGCCUCCUUUGAUCUUUAGCGUUUACUUUAGUCGGAUCAAUGUAGGCAACGAAUUGGUUCUCCAACCAUAAGGUUGGCACUACCAAUCCAGCCACAAAUUGGGGCAUUAUAGAAGGUGCUUACUAGGGCAAAGAAGAUUGCGACCAAGGUUGAACAAGAUCUACUAGUUAUGACGAAAAAAUACGAAGACCUUUCGGUCAAAGUGAGCCGUAUUCGUGAGGGUUCUCGGCUAAAUUUGCAUGAUUACUUCGCAUAGAAGCAUAAAUUAAUCAAGGAGAGGGAUAGAAUCGCCAAGGCUGCAAGUAAAGCAUGAUGAAAAUCAGUCGCUCGAAUAAGGCAACUUGAGGGGAAACUUCAAUCGGAGUGGCUGAGGGUUGUUGAUCGUGAUUGGAUGAUCGAAAAGGAACGACAGCUGUCGGAUAAGUUCCAAGUGGAUCUUGCUUUGCUCGAACCGGCCAACACCAAUCUCCUUAAGAUGAUCGAGAAAGAGAGAUCAGAGAUGGUAGAGCUUCGAAUCAGACUGGCGGAGAGUGAAGCUAUAAAAAGAACUACCGAAGGCAGGAUCAGAAACAAAGUUUUACUCGAAGCUGCUCAAAAAGAGAUGGCUGCCUGGGUUGCCAGUGUGUCUCGACAAGCCUUCAGAGCCGGGUUCGAGGAGUGCGAAGCAUAAGUCUUCGAGCUUUUUUGGGAGAUAGAUACUAGUCUUCUCAGUAUCCUAGAGAUCAAUCCUAAAGAGCGAGAGAGUUCAGCCAUUGUACUUGUCCUCGGUCCUGAAAGAUCACCAGGAAGAAUUCCUAUCUUGUAAUCUUCAUUGGUCGAAAUCGAGCCCUUUCUCUUUUUGUUCAUUAUUUUUAUUGUAACUCCAUAACUAGUAUGAAUGAAGUAUUUUAUCUUAAUUUGGUUCAUUCAUAAUGCGGACUGAAGGCUUGAUGUAUGAAUUGGAUUGGUGUUUGGGCGUCAUUGUACAUUGCUCAUGUCCGUGCAGUGUUAGUAGUAAUCUGAAGGCGUAUGUGGGUUGGGGGCAAGAUUCACUUGACUCAGGGGAUCGGUGAUUAAGGUGACACAGAUCCCACGGGAGGUGAGUCUUGCUUGGGUAUUCGGUAGGAAUAUAUUUUGGGUCAGGCUUAAUAUCCCUGUCCAACACAUUCACUGCUUCUACUAGGUUGAGAGAGAAUAAUUGCAUACGUGUUGAUGUAGAAAUAUAAAACGCCGCUUUGCCUAAGGGUGUAAUAUGUCUGUGCCUCUGUACUUAUAUUAAGUGUCUGUCAUUUCAGAAUUUGAGAAAAAUGAGACAAAAUAAAAUGGCUAUCUCACAUCUACGUUUUAAGUGCACACCAAUUGGAGUGAAACUUGUUAUUAAUCAGUAGUCACCACAACACAUCGGUUAAUAGAAGUGAUUAUGAGAUGCUUAAAUUCAGCUUUUUUCUUUAUAAGAGAAAGAAUAUUUGAGAGAAGCUCCACAUCUCGGGUGUUAUGGAGUGGUGGGGCGGCGCCUCUCUGAUUGUGUUGUUUAAAUGUUAGGUUCUGGAUCUAACGAUUUCCUCCACUUGAUAAAGACCUUCUCAUCUAGGAGCCAACUUUCAUGUUCUACAGGUUGAGAGAUUUUGGUCCAGUGCAAGACUAGAUCGUCGAUCCUAAAUUCUUUAUUCUUGACACGAGAGUUAUAAUAUCAGGCCAUCUUUUGUUGGUAAGCUGCCAUCCGAACUCGUGCUUUUUCGCAGACUUCUUCCAGUAAAUCUAGAUUUGUCCGAAGAUUUUUCGUAUUGGCUUCGUUGCUAUAAUUCUCGAUCCAGAAUCAUGGAAGUCCGAUCUCCACCGGUAUGAUGGUCUCUGUUUCAAAAGAAAGGUGGAAGGGAGUCUCACCUAUUGGAGUCCUCUGAGUGGUUCUGUAGGUCCAUAGUAUGCUAUAGAGUUCAUCAAUCCAGGCUCUCUUGGCUCGAUCGAUCCUGGCUUUUAGUCCUCACAAAAUAGUCCGAUUGGUGACUUCGAUCUCACCAUUUGCCUAUGGAUGUCCUACUGAUGUAAAAUGCUAAGAGAUGCCCCAUUCUCGAUAGAAUUCAACAAACUUUAACCCAAAAAAUUACCGCCCAUUAUUUGUAAUCAAUACUCGUGGGAGGCCAAACCUACAAAUGAUGGAUUUCUAAACAAAGUUUGUUACCUUUGUCUCAAUAAUUCAGGCCAGAGGCUCAGCCUUUAUCUAUUUAGUGAAAUAGUCUAUUUCCAUGAGUAGGAACUUUCUUUAUCCCAAAGCCAGUGGUAAAGGACCCAAGAUGUCUAUUCCCCAUUGCAUGAAGGGCCAAGGAGUUGUAAUCAGAGCCAAUGGGACGGCUGGCUGGUGCUGAACAUAGGCAAUCUUCUGACACUGGUCAGAACACUUGAUGAAAUCGAUGGCGUCAUCCUGCAUCUUGGGCCAAUAAUACUCCUGUCAUACUAAUCUAUAAGUUAGCGACUUUUCAGCCACAUGGCUCCCGUAUAUCCUCUCAUGCAACUCCCGAAGAGCAUAAUUUACCUCAGAGGGGUAGAGACAUCUAAGGAGCGAUAAAGAAAGAGAUCGUCGAUAAAGUUUGUCUUUAUGGAGGAUAUAAUGAGGAAUCUGGUGCCUAAUUUUCUUGGCCUCUUUUGAGUCUAUCGGCAAAAUUCCAUCCUUCAGGAAGCGGACGAAAGGAUCGAUCCAGCUGGGUUCUUCUUCUAUUUGUAGAACAUAGGUCAGGUCUUCGAAGCUUGGUCUCUCCAAUACUUCAAAGAAUGUGUGUUUAGGGAGAUCGCCUGGUGCAGAGGUGGCUAAUUUGGAGAGUAGAUCAGCCUUGAAUUCUCCACCUAAGGUACCUGUUGAAUUUCUAAAUCAAAAAAUAUGGAGGUACCUUCGAGAGAUAUUUUUUCAUGUUUUUCUCUCGUGCUUCAUAUUCUCCUUUGACUUGCCUAGCCACCAAUUAUGAGUCAAUGUAAAUCCUUAACUUUUUGACUCUCAAUUUUUGUGCUAUUCUUAAUCUAGCUAAGAGGGCUUCGUAUUCAGCUUCAUUGCUCAUUAUGAAAAAAAUUGAACUAUAAGACGUAUUCCGUGAUGAACCCAUCGAACCCAAUAGAAUUGGUGAUCCAUCUACAUUUAUGGUCCAAAAAUCUAAUUUAUGGGGUAGGUUCAGAUCGGGUGUUUCGAUUCCUCUAGCCACUUCCAACUCUGUUGGAUCUUCAGGAAUAGUACAUUCUACAAUGAAAUCAAUCAGGGCCUAUACUUUAAUAGAAGAUAGAGAUCUAAAUUCCACCCCAAAUUUUAUGAGUUUGACUGCCCAUUUUGACAAUCGUCCUGAAGUGUCUGACCGAUGUAAGGUCGUCUUUAGGGGUUGAUCCGUCAUGACCAUGACUGGAUGUGCUUGAAAAUAGGGCCGAAGUCUCUGGAUGGAAAUAAUAAGGGCGAAGAUGAGUUUCUCCAUUUUAAUAUACCGAAUCUCCGCAUCAUGGAGGGUUUGGCUAACAUAAUAGAAAGGCUUUUGAACUUUUUCUUGUUCCCAAAUCAAAAUAAAGCUCACAACAACGGACGACACUGCUAGGUAUAAAUAGAGUUCUUCGCUCGUCCUUGGCUUAUUGAGGAGUGGUGGAGAAGCCAAGUAACUCUUUAACUCUUUAAAGGCAUGAUCGCAUUGUGGGGUCUACAAAAAGUCCUUAGGUUGUCUCAAAAUCUUGAAGAAUAGGAGGUAUUGUUCAGUUGAUUUGGAUACGAAUCGGUUGAGUACUGCCAUCCGUCCCAUGAUACUUUAGACCUUUUUUAUGGUUUUCGAAGGACCCAUGUCCUGGAUGGCUUUGAUCUUCUCCGAGUUGGCCUCUACACCCCGACUUGACACCAAGAAUCCCAAAAUUUUUUCUGAGGUUAUGCCAAAGGUGCACUUUGUCGGAUUCAAUUUCAUCCGAUAUUUUUGAAGUGUGGCAAAGGUCUUUGAGAUCGUCUACAUGACAGCACAAAGUUUUGCUUUUGAUGAGCAUAUCAUCUACAUAGACCUCUAUAUUUUGACUGAUUUGAUAUUUAAACAUGUUGUUUACCAGGCGUUGAUAAGUAGCGCUUGCAUUCUUUAGAUCGAAAGGCAUAACCCUGUAGAAAAAGAGACCUCGAUCAGUAAUAAAGACGGUCUUUUUCUAAUCUUUAGGUACUAUCUGGAUUUGAUUGUAUCCUGAGAAAGUUUCAUGAAGAUGAGGAGGUCAUGUCCCAAAGUAGCAUCUACCAACUGAUCAAUUGAGGACAGAGGAUAGCUAUCCUUCAGACAUGCUUUAUUUAGAUCUGUAAAAUUUAUAUAGAUCUGUCAUUUGUUAUUUGCCUUCUUUACUAAGACAAUAUUAGCAAUCCAGUUGGGGUAAGUUACUUCCCGAAUGAAAUUGGCUUUCAGCAGCUUUUCUACCUCUUUAGCCAUUGCUCUUUGUCAUUCGGAGGCAAAGUUCUUUCUUUUUUGCUUGACUGGCCGAUAGGUGGGCUUGACACUUAGUCGAUGCAUCGUUACCAUGGGGUCGAUCCCGGGCAUGUUGGUAGGAGUCUAAGCAAAAAUAUCUGCAUUUUUCUGCAAAAAAAAACUAGUUGUUGUCUUACUUCUGGAUCCAGUUUGGAUCCGUUCGUGCCAUAUGUCCCAGGUUUUCAUCAUUUAGCAGAAUUGCAUUCAGAUCUUCUACCGGCUCCCCACAUUCUUCCGUCAGGUCAUUGUGGGUGUCAAGCCUAUCAAUAGGAUAAGUUUCAGGUUGUCUGGCAUUUUGAAGCAAAAUGGUACAGCAUUAGCAUGCCAAAAUUUGGUCCCCCCAGACCUCACCGACCCCCUUAUAGGUUGGGAAUUUCAUUUUGAGGUGGUAAGUGGACACUAUCGCUCAAAGGAUGUUGAGGCCUGGGUGUCUAAUGAUAGCAUUAUAUGCAGAGGGCGCUCGUAUCACUAGGAAGUCCAUCUGGACCAUCGAUCGUCGAGGAGUUUGGCCGGCAAUUAUGGGCAAUGUGACAACCCCUUCAAUAGAUAUAGCAUCGCCAGUGAACCCUACCAAGGGGGCAUCUAGUUUCCCUAGGUGCUCAAGGGGUAUCCUCAUUUUAAGAAAAGCAUCAUAAAAUAACACGUCUGCUAAACUUUCAUUAUCUAUCAGGACACGACAUAUAUCAUAAUUUUUUAUAUUUAGAGUUACAACUACCGCAUCAUUGUGUGGAUAUAAAACUCCUUGAGUGUCUUCUUCGGUAAAGGUGAUGGGCUCCUCAAUCUUUGGCCUUUUGAAUGAUUCGGCUUCCUCUUCGAUCCAGGGCUGAUGCCCCCCUGCUAUUACAUUGAUGAUCCCUGCUGGAGGUCGUCUUCCAGAGGUCAUUGCUGCUGCUCAGGUUGUGGGGAAUCUCUUCAACGUUCCUCACGUUGCUCGAGGUGGUGUCUGAUGAAUCAAUCCAGCUGCCCACGAUGUAUGAGUUCUUCAAUCUCAUCACACAGCUGGAUAUAGUCUUCAGUGUCGUGGCCAUAGUUGCGAUAGUAAAGACAGUACUUAUUUGAGUUCUGAUGCAUCGAGUUCCCCCUCAUUCUCUGGGAUUGUGCGAUUUGGUCCUGAAUCUCCAUGAGGACCUGCAUUCGAGGAACACUAAGAGGAGUAUAAUUAGUGAAUUUCCUAAGUGGAGAUAGAUGCCGCUUCUCCAUUAAAUUUCUUUGCUUGCGCCCCCCCGGGGGGUUCGGGAUCAUUGGCGCUUUGGAGGAGAUCGGGCUGGUCGAAGAUUUUUUUUUUUGAUUUUCUUGCGGCUGAGGCUUCUCAGGCUCUUUUUUUUUGUUCUCCAAAAAUUAUCCUAGGGGUGGGUUCAACCCCAAAAGCCUUAUGAGUCCGGGCAUACUUCUCUAUCCUGGUUAACAUCUCCACGAAAUCACAAGGGUAGGACUUCUCCAAAAAGUAUCAGAGACCAUUUUUCAAAAGCCCACCCUUUAAGGUAGCCAUCGCGACUGACUGAUCUAAGUCGCACACUUCCAAAAUGAUCGUGUUAAAAUGGCCAAGGUAAGAUCGAAGAGACUCCCCUUCUUUUUGCUUUAUGUUGAUGAGAGAAUCAGACCCCUUCCUUUGCCUCCUACUGCUGACGAAAUGGACCACAAAAAGGUGACCCAUUUGGUUGAAAGAGAAAAUUAUUUACGGUUUCAAACUGGAGUAUCAGUAUCGAGCCACGUCCUUUAAAGUGGAGAGAAAGGCCUUAUAGAGGAUGGCAUCAAUGGCUCCAUGAAGAAGCAUUAUCGCUCUAAAAUUUUUCAAGUGGUCCAUAAGGUCAGUCGAUCCAUCAUAACUUUUAAUUGGGGCAUCUUAAAAUGAUGACUGGGGUUUGGUUUUGCAAAGCCUCGAUCAUUUGUUUCACAUCUCAAAGCUUAUGCUCGAUCUCUAUGUCUCUGGUGGUAUAUGCCAUAGAAUGAGAAGAAUAGGCAUGACUCAGAGUAGAGUCAUACUUUGAGUGAAGACUCGGGGACCAUCGUGCACCAUGCUCUAGCUCUUUCAGGCAGCUCUGGUGAGUCUGUCUUUGUAGGGAAAUUUGAGGAUGCUCAAUUAAAAAUAUGGUAAGUGGUGGAGGGUUAUUCUAUUGCAUUGUUUGGAUUGCUGCAAUCAGAUCUCGAAUUUGUUGGAUGAUAAGUGAUAUAUUUUUANNNNNNNNNNNNNNNNNNNNAAAAAUAGAUAUUAAUUUAAUUAAAAAUUUAAGUAUCAAAAUAAUAAAAAUUUUAAAAAAUUUAAUAUAUAUAUUUUUUAUUUUUCAGGUAAAAAUUGAAGCAAAAAUCAAGUCAAAAUAUCUUAAAAAAUAAUUUUUAUAGCCUUCGAUGCAUGGUGGACCGGCCGCUCGAUCCACAGAGUCAGGGCACGGUCCAUCGAAAAUAAUACAUGAUCCACAAGGGCGGCUCAUGAUGGGUUGAGAUGAUUUUGUACGAUCCAACGAUCUACAAUCAUCACGACUUAGAUCCAACGGCUGCUGUUCGUUGUCGGUUGAUAAGAGGAACCUUUUGUAUGAUCCGACGGUUGAAACUCAAUCCAUCAUGCAAUCAGACGGCCAGCAUCAUUUUCGACUUCGAUAAGGAGUUAAACUGCAUGAUCCAACGGUUCAAAACAAAUCUGAACCCAGAUCGAAUGGCUGUGGUUGAAUCCGACAUUGAUAAGGAAUUAAACUAUGAUUUUUGGGUAGAUCUGAGUGAUCCAAAACUGAUUUAAUGGUCAGAAAAAUUUUUAUGAAUAAAAUAUAUUUUUUAAGAAUUUUAGAACUCCUUUUCUUACCAAAAAAAUAUAAAAAAUUCAUCUAUAAAUAGGAGGUCUGGGAAUAAGUCUUGAGAGCAAAAAAAUUUCAUGAAAAGUGAGGAAAAAAAUAAAAAAAUAUUAGAGCUUUAGAGAUCCAAGGGAAAGAAGAAGAAAAGUCGGUUUGCUUUACGGAGUACGAAGAAAGGUGGAAAGAUCAUCAACCAUCUUUUCAACGAGACUGGACUGAUCAACUUCAGAUAUUUGUUAUAAUUUUAUUUUUAUUUUAUUUUAUUAUUAUUUUUUAAAUUUUUUGUACUUGAAUUUAAAUUUCAAUUAAUACAAAAUUUAUUUUUUUUUGCACUUUAAAUUCCUAUCUUUUAUUUUUUACAAUUAGAUGCUAAGAUCUAAUUAGUAGAUCUUAGUAUCAAUUUAUUUUAUACUUUUUAAAUUCUUGUUAUUUAUUUUUAUUGCAAGUAGAAGUUAGGAUCUAGUUAGUAGAUCUUAGUACCGAAUUUAUUUUUUAUAUUUUUAAUUUUUAUUUUUUGACUUAAAUUAUUUUUUUUAAUUUUUUUUUACAAAAUCAAAAAUUUCAAAUCAAAAUCCUGUCUUCUCUAUGGAUUCGACUCGACUCGCUAUUUUCUAUGUGUUUUUAAUUUUUAUUGAAGUCGAAAUUAGAUUGAUAAUCAUGAUAUCCUAACGACAAUAUCGCGAUCAUAUCACUGGACUAGUAGGUUGAACUGAUCCAUGCCGACAGCCACUCUAGAAGGCGAAGCGGCCGACGGUGGAUUCUCCGAUGAUGGUGCCGAAGCUUGCUAGUUGGGAGAAUUAUCCACCGAUUGAAAAACAGCAAUAUUUGACAAGUGAGAAGAUGCCCCUUUACACGGUGCCAUGGUAGUUAAAUAGCUUUCUCUUCUCCUUCUUAGAGCGGGCCUGAGCCCUCUCUCUAGCGUCAAUCUAUUGUGAAAGAUUUCUGACCACAUACAGAUACGGUUGAAAUAAGUCGGAGAUCAUUGGAGUGACGUUCCUACAAAACAAGUCCCAAUCAGAGUUGGCUCUGAUGAGGACUCUUCGAUGGUCAAAUCAAGAAUUUGGCAUAACAGAGGAGAGGAGAGGGAGUUGCAGGAAAGCAUAGGAUGUAUUGAGCACACGUGGGGCAUACCUGAGAGUCUCCUUUUUUACCUCUAUUUAUAGGAAGAUUAGUAAUGAUAAGCCAUACAGAUUUCGUUAUGUAUGUCAUUGAUAGGUGGAUUUUUGUCUGGCAUGUCGCCGGCAGGGAAAGAGAUGUGAUUUGGGUUGAAUAGAUGUAUGGGCGACAAGUAAGAUAGCGGUGAUGUUUUCUGACUUGAUGUGCUUUAACCAAAAGUUACAAAUGAUCCUUCGACUUGCCUUCAAGAGAAUUGGUUGAUGUCCGAUGUCUGAUCCUUCCUCUGAUGUCGAAGUCUAAAGACUAUCAGAGAUCUAUUAUUUAAAGAAAUUGGUUAGAAGGGAACCGGCUACCUCAUUCGGGUUCAUCAACCUAUAGGCUGAUGGAGAUCGGGUUUGAUGGUAGGGGCCAGUCUUUUCAGAAAGUAAGUUGUAAUAGUGAAGGAUCCUUGGUCUGAUUAGGAGUAAAGAUCGAUCAAGAAUUUCUGAGAAUAACGUGGCCAUCAGGCUUCCUUUGGCCUUAAACCUGAUGUUCAGGUGAUUACUUUAGAGUGGAUCGGCUGGCACAUGGAUCGGUAAGAUACCUAAACCGAUCAUUGAGAUAGAGAUCGGUGUCGCAACUUUAUUAAUGCUCCUCCAAAAAAAGAAAGAGACUAAGGUCAAGGUUGAAAGGACAAGGGGCCGCUUCCUCAGUGUCCCAUCAUAUCGGACGACAGAGGAUGUACUUAAAUGCUUCUGACAUCUAUCAUAAACUUGCUCGGCGCGUAGUGGGCCGUCAAAGAGAUAGUGAGGCGACGUGGCAUAUGACCGAUGAGCGGAGUGACACGACUGGAUGGUGAGGCCUAUUAGCCUUAUAGGAGGGAAUAGCCCGAUGUCCCUUAACUUGACCCCUAGACGGGGAUUGGAACGGGCAUAGUGCCACCGAACCCCUUAGAGAUCAGCUCCGCUCAAUGAUUGGCGAAGCUAGGCUUUGGUAUUAAAGGGGAUUUUUUCCCCCAAUAGUUAGUAUUAUUUCAGUUUCUUCUUCUUAUAGCCAUUCCUUUAGAAUGUCCGGCCGGCUAAUUCCUAGGCCAAUUAUCAAGAAGAUUCAAACAAUACUCAAAGUACGUCAAAACUUUCUUUGUCCUUCUGUGGCGACCAAGGUGUUACCCCCCAACAAAAAGCAUGGUUUCUAAUCACAUUCCAGGAUUUAUGUAAUUGCGAUAAUUAUUAUAAUGAUAAUGUGAUGAUGGUGAUUAUUAUGAUUAUGAUAAUUAUUAUGAUUAUGAUGAUUAUUAUUAGCAACAGUAGAAAUAAUAGCUGCAAUAGCAGCACCAAAAGUAGCAGUGGUAAUCAACGUUAGCCAAAUUGUUCGAAUUAUUCCGAACUGGAAGAUUCCAGACAUUCUGAGUUGUAUCGGCCAUAAAUCGGGAUGAUUUGGUCUUCCGAAUCGAAACAUUGAACGAGGGAGAAAGAAAGAGAGAAAGAGAGAGAAGAGGAAAGAAAGAGAGAGGAUGCCGCUACCGAAGGAUUGCGGAGGCCUCUGUGGCUUCAUGUCCGCCUGAUAGGAUGUUUAAUUGAGAGAUGAAAAAAGAGGGGGAGUGAGGAUAUUAGAGGGAGGCACGCCAAUGGAGUGGCUGUUGGAGGGUGCUGGAUGGCCACUGUACCCAUCGGAUGGUGGAAAAGGCACGUAUGGAGCUAUAGUUACAGAACAUGGGUGACUGCCGUUAUUCAUCAUAUUUUUUUUCAAAAUGACGAUUAAUAGUAAAGCCAGCUUAAGUGAAACCGACAAACCUAUUGCAGGCUUUAUUGUGGUUGAGCUUAUUUUAAAAAAUCUCGUGAAAUGGGGGUGAUCGUCUUUAUUUCAUGCCAGUGAAGUUGUAGGCCGCAAUUUCAUCGUCCGACGGUCAGUCAGAGGCUCUUCAAUAGCCUUUCCGCCGACUUUUCCUCCCUCAUUUUCUUUUCCUCUCCUCUCUUUCGAUUGUGAUUUGGUGAAGGAAGCAAACACUUUAAUGGCCCUCAGAAUAUGCCCAUGGUCUGCUAGUGGCUAAGGGUGAGCAAAAAUCGAAUCUGAACCAAUCAAAUCAAUAAAAUCAAACCAAACCUCAAGUUUGGUUUGGUUUAAAAUUUUAUUUGAUUCGGUUUGGUUGGUUUUUGACAUAUAAAAAAUAGAUUUGGAUUGGUUCAGAUUUAUCAGUAAAUAAAAUCGUUCUCAAACCGAACGGGACUGAUUUUAAUAAAACGAUGUUAUUUUGAUUAGAGUGUUGUUUAUGUUAGAGUAUUAAUGCACUAGAAAAUAAUUCUGGAUUUAUGAUAUUGUUUAUCAAUUUAGUUUUAUAUUGAUUAGCCUUAAACCCCAAGUGACUUACUUACUGGAUUGUUUAUUUUUAUUGUAACGUGUUAGAAUUUUGAUCUUAAUCCUUAAUGAUAGUGUUUGUUUAAGAAUUUUAUUUAGUUAACUGACAAUAUCUUAUGUUAAUUUAAAUAAUUUUACUUGAUAAAUUUUUUUAAUGGUACUCUUAUGUGAAAAAAAAAUUUUCAUGAAUCAAAAAAAAUCAGUAAACCAAACCAAAUCAAACCGUUUAAAUCAUGUUAGUUUGGUUUGAUUUCAAUCUUCUAUUGAUCCGAUUUUGUUACUGUUUCGGACUAGUUCGGCUUAGGUUUGAGUAUGAAACCAAUCCAAACAGGACUAUGCUCACUCCUAUUAGUGGCCACCGCUGGUAUCUCCUCCAACCACCCUCUCCCUCUCUCCCCCUCUUUUUCCUCUUCUUCGAUUUUUUUCUUCGCUUCCGUGUCGAUUCACAUUGAUUCGAUCCAAAAUUAUUCCAUCGAUCGAUCGACAUGGAUCUCAAUAUCGACUCCAUGGAUCUUGAUGAUGAUGAUGAUAGCAGUCAUAGUCAUAGUAGUAGUAAUAGUCGCUAUGGUGGUGAUAACGGUAAUAAUAGUAGCAUUGGUAGUGGCAGCAAGAAAAAUGAUAGCAGUAAUAGCAAUAACAAUGGUGGUCGAUGUUUACUUAUAUUAUGAGUUUUAUAGCGUUUACAUGAGCAAUUCCAACCUCCAAGUUGAUACAGAAGACAAGUACGUCAUUAGCUUGUCUCUCCACAUUCUUCUUUCUCUACCAGGGACCAUGCACCCUGAAUUAAGGACACGUUUUCAUACGAAACCAUGAGCAUUUCAAGAAGGCUGCUGAGUAUGUUGAUAAGCAUCAAUGCGGCGCAGUGGCACAGAUUAAUCCGGAUUCGUCUUCCUUUCUUGCCAUGAUUAGUUGAAGUGAUGAAAAUCACCAUCAGGUCUAGGGAGUGAGGGGAUUUUCUUCUGUAAAAAUUUGUAAUGGAAAGGCUAUCAACAUCACUAGAUCUGACAUUACAGGUAUGCGCUGAAUCUGAUCAUGGACCAAUUGCCAAAAAACACAGUGAUCAAUUUAAGUAAAAUGUCACCCUCUUUAUUGCUUCGAAAGGUAGUCGUAGUCUCCAGUCUUUCUGCUUCCUGCUUAAUGGCCUUCCUUUACCGGCCUCCGCCCUGUUCUCUUUAACAUCUGCAAGUUUCCACACACACUGUGCGGUAGCACUUUCAAAUGACUCUAACACGAAAACUCCAUCUUUUUGCUGGUGGUGUUUGGAAUCAAGACUCUCUUCCUGGUAUUGCACCCUCAUGGGCAUCUCUUUAAACCGGUCCAAAUCCUCAGGUACCUUUAGGAGUCUCUCCGCCCCUGGAGAUGAUACCUGAAAAGGAGACAUUCAUGUGGCACAUAUGAACAUUAAAUCCAUCUCGCAUUCAGAAGCCCAAAAUCUCAAAAUUUGGUUUGGAAUUUGGAUCAUAGUUCAACUAGUUAUCUCCAGAAAAAGAAAUUUUGAUGCAUACCUCUAGAGCCAAAUCUAAAGGUAUCUCCCCACACUCCACAAUCUCAUCCAGUUGCUUCUUGUAAAGACUGCUAAAAUUUUCAAUUUCCUCCAUAGCUGGGCACCCAUAUCUGAGAGUGAAGGGCAAACAGUCCAUGUUUACAGAAGUCUCAGAAAACUUUAUAAAUCAAACAGAACCUAUCUUCCAAUGAUAUUAACAGAAAACGAAAAAUACCAGCAGGGUUAGAAACUUAUUUUUCUGGGCAUUAUGUUCAGGAAAACAAGGAUUAUCGGAUGAUAUUAAUAGGCUGCCAGACUAAAAUAGCAAAAGUUGGUGUAAUAAAGUGACCAUAACUUGCUCUCACAACACUGCUACAUGUUGCAUCCAGCAGACUGUAGGAGAUGAAUGGGUGAUUUUACAGCUGAGUACUCGUACUCCUUUAGCACAGCUGAGAAGUUUCCAAGCAACCUCAGCCGCUAUGCCCAGACCUCAAAUGUCACCUACUUCAUUGAAACAUGUGAUAGCAAAUGCCCAAAAAGAAUAACUUUAAGAAUCCCAAGAACACUGACAAAAAUGAAGGUCACCUCUUCAUGCAUUUUUCAACUUUCAAUGACUGGAAGCAGAUAUAUGCUUAUUUUGUUUUAUGCAAACUAAACGACAAAAGGACAGCCCAAUGAGAUGCACAUCUGACAACACACAAAAUACAGCCCCUCCCAAAAAAAGCAAAAAAAACAUAAAAAAAGGAAAAGAGAAACAUCAACAAACUUUAUAGAAUCCCUCUCUCUCUCUCUCUCUACCUACCUCACCUCUAGUAAGACGCCANNNNNNNNNNNNNNNNNNNNAACUUAACUUAGUAAUACCUCCUCUCUCUCUCUCUCUCUAACCCUCACCUCUGUAAAGAGCCAUAUUCCAGGAAAAUUAUGUCAACCUUAGCACCCACCAUGCAAAACAGGUAAUCAUAUUCAAAUGUUUAUUCAUCAAAUAUGCACUCUAAAAAACUGGUAUAACUCAAAGGACUUGUUUGUGUUCCUCUUUUGGAUUGCCACCACCACCUAACAAUAUAAUCAUUUUUUGAAUAUAAACAAUAUAAUCAGUUGUUGAAGAUACAGACUUUUCUCCUACCUGAGCUCAAAGGCGAACCUCACUCAAGGUAUAAAUAAGGAUUAUAAAGCUUCAAAAAAGGUGGUUCACGUUAAAUAACACUUGAGCUUAAAUCAGUUCUUUAACACUUGAGCUUAUAAUGAAAAUAUGCUUCUAAUCACUCGUUUCUUCCACCACAUCCAAAUAAUAGGAUGAUGAAUCAAUUAUUACAAUUACAAAGCACCAAGUCCUGUAAUUGAUUGGUAGCAAUUUUUUUGCCUUCACCAGCAAUCCUUUCCCCAGCUUAGAUAUGCUGAGCUAUAUGGAUGAAACUAAGAAAGUGUUUAAGAAAUUAAUACAACUAGCAUAAACUUUAUCAUAACUCUUCAUAGAUGAUCAUAUGUUCCUUGGUUAAGUGACAUGAGGAAAGGAAACGGCUUGCAUAAAUACCUACCAAUUGAUAAGAAUUGAAAUUUAGAAGCUCACACAUCCCCUAGGACCAUUAGGACCUGAAACUAGUUUACCUUAAGGAUGCCAAGGGUGCCUCAAGCACAAUAAGAUUCAAGAAAUAUAAUUCCAAAUAAACUUUUCCUUUCAUCAAAACAUUUUGUUAAUGUAACAAAUCCUUCCUAAUCGAUAGUCACUCAUAACUCAUUACCUUCUCUAAGAUCAAACUGCUAUUUCAAAGCUUCAAGGUGACACAAUAAGAACUUGGGUUGGGAUAAUCUUCCUAAUAGUGAUAUAUAAUUAUAUCACCCACAUGAAAGUCAAUAACUUACCCUAUAUAUGUUUAUAUGUAUAUAUACUAGAGAAAAAGGGAGAAUAACUUGCACAAGAUGAGCAAUGAUAUCCAAUCUUUUGGAAAUUCUAAAAAUAAUGAGAAAAGGGAUACAUUCAAUCAUGAGCUUACCAAUUUUCUGCAUUGAUAAGUACUGACAAGCUAAAUAUGCUAGGAUUCUAAUGAAGACUUCAUCUACAAAUAAAAGGACUUCGUGCAAUCCUCAAGUUAAAAAAUUGAAAAUGCAAACUGUCCAAAGAAACCAACUGUGCAACAAAAAGACAGAAAAUCUCCCAAACAAGGAUUCUUGAUUAUGACAAAAGUAUCAUCCUAAAUGGCCCCUCAUCGAUAAUGUUUCAAGAAGUUUCUGUUAUAUAUUUCAGUUUAAUCAUUAACUGAUAAUAUAUUGCAACCAAGGGAUUUAGACUUAGCCCACCCGAGUCAUAUAAAUAUCAAAUAGAGAUGAUCAUUGCAAUUAAAUUGGCUCCUUAAACACCAAUCUUCUAGCACCUCUAAUGUAAUUUGAGAUAUUCCAGAACAAAGACCAUAGAUCACUAUAUCAAAAAUUGGCUCCUCCACCUGAUGGAAAAUAGAAGAGAGGGCCAGUCUCUAGUCUUCUAUGGAUCAGCUUUCUCAAGUUAUUAGGUUAUAUGAUGCUGAGGCUCAUUAUAACCUAAAUUGUUUCUCUCAAGUGUCAUAUAGUGGUAUAUUAAUCCACUUGCAUCAAGUAAAUUUUUUCCUGAAAAUGAGGAUUGCCAAGGAAUAAAUAACAAAAUUGUGAUGCUCCACCCGUCAUCAAACAAACAUGUAAUAGCAGCAAGCAGAAAAUAAAAUUAAUGGCUCCAUGUAUUAUGUCCUCCAUUACUCUGUAAACCCGUUAAAUCAGGAUGUUCAGAUGACCAAAAUUGAGAAACUUCCACCACUACUCUACAAUUGUCUUAUCAAGUGAAUUUGCAUAAGACAAAAACAAUUUUGAAAAACAAGAAAACUAUUACAAUUAAUCUAUGAUGCCAGAACAUCCAAAAAUCUCCCAUUUGACCUACAGUUUAAUUAUUAUUAUUUUAUAAAAUUUGUUUUAUUUUAAAAUUAAUUUUGCAGAAGUAGGUUAAUCUCCUAGUUUCGUGCAAGUUCAUGGAUUCUUCAGGCAAUGGACCAGAAGAACUCUACUUAACAGUACCCAUGCAAACUCAAUAGUAAAAUGAUUCAUAGUUCCAAUGUUUUGCAUCCCAACGGGAGGGGGGCAUUCCGGCCAUCUCAUCCCCUUCCUGUGAGAAAACAGGACUAGGAUGGGUUCGGGACUUCGAAACUCAUCCACACGGGGUGAGAAGAAGAAAAAGAAGAGAAGGAAAGACAAAGAAACGAAAAAAAUGAGAGGAAAAAAGAUGAAAAAUGAAAAAAGAGAAAGUAAAGGAGAAGAAAAGAAAGUAAAAAGAAAGGAAAGAAAGGAAGACAAAGGAAAAGAAAGAAAAGAAAGGAAGAAAGAAAAAAAAGAAAAAGAAAAAAAGGACAGAAGAAGGGAAGAAAGAUGCAAGAUAUCUACCAGGAUUGCCGUCGAGACGAGAUAGGACAGCAGGGUGUUAUGUUCCAUAGAGAAAUCGGGACAUCUUCGUUCCAUGGGAUUUAAAAUCUUUCCUAGUUCUACGUCAAAGUACAGCUAUAACCGAAGUCAAGCAAAUAAAGGUAGUAGUGAGAUGUUUUAGUGCCUUCUAUCAAAGGUCCUCAUGCUUCAUUUGGAUGAAUAAAUUGUGGUUAGGAGUUAGGACAUACCACAUUUGAGUAAACACCAUUCCUAGUGAGAGGCAGACAGGUUAUGAUGCCCAUUUAUAUCUUGACCUCAAUAUUUCAAGAAUCACCCCAACUGAUCACUGAGAUCCUCUCGUAGGUGACUGCAAUCAUCCUGCCCAGUGAUCUGUGGUAUUCCCAUAGGCCAUACAAUAAAACAACAUACAGCGCGCAAUGUGUAUUCAUUAAUGUCGCAAUAAUAGCACAAAUCAUCAAUGGAUAAUUUUUAAAUAUUCAAUAUGCCUGCUAGUUUUACAGAAAAAGGAAAUCAUUAAGGUCUAUAAUGAAAUACAAAUCAGCCAGGAAUAGAAGCUCCAAAAUCAAAAUACAUCAUCCACACAUCCAUAUCUGGUACAUGCUCCUUAAAGACUAUCAUAACAAGGCCUUUGAGUGGAUUUGCAAGAUUGUCUUCCAAAGGGAUCCAAUUGAUAGUAGCAAAUUUCUUCUCAGCUAUAUCACAUAUACAAUAGCAGUGGAGUUCACUGAGCUUCAGUUUAGCAUGAAGUUCAUAAUGCAACACAAAUCAGCCAGAGAUAGAAGCUCCAAAAUCAAAAUACAUCAUCCACAUGUCCAUAUGUGGUACAUGCUCCUUAAAGACUUUUAUAACCAGGCUUUUGAGGGGAUUUGCAAGACUGUCUUCCAAAGGGAUCCAAUUGAUGGUAGCAAAUUUAUUCUCAGCUAUAUCAUGUAUAUAAUAGAAUUGGAGUUCAAUGAGCUUCAGUUUAGCAUGACAUUUUGCAUCCUUAGGAAGAGAGGCAGCAACAUUAUUACAUAAUAUUUUUGCUAGCCUAUUAACAUGAUCAACAAUUCUAAGAUCCACGAGGAAAUAUUUAGCCAUCUUGCUUGCCUUUUAGCCUUAGAACAAGCUAUGUACUCAACUUUCAUUAUUGACAAUGCUACUUUGCUUCAUAUUGCGUCAAGAAAUAGUCCCAUCGACCAUUGUGAAAAUGUAACUCAAAGUUGAUUACAAUGUGCCAUUAUAACCUUUCUAGUUUCUAAUUUGCAUCGCUGUAACCAAGAACAUUCAAACCACAAGAGUUAUCAAAUGUAAGUACAUAAUUUUUAGUCCUUUUCAAAUAUUGCAUUGCUUUCUUGAUAGCUCUCCAAUGAGCCAUUCUGGGAUUUUUUGAUAUCUACCAAGUAAACUCACCUUGAAAGCAAUAUCAGGAUGUGUGCAGGUCAUUGCAUAGAUGAGAUUACAAACAGUGGAUGCAUAAGGUACUUGGCGUAUUUGUUGUAUUUAAAGAUCAUUUUAUGGACACUAGCCAAGAUCUAGUUUAUCUUCUUUAAUACUGGUGAUUCAUCUGAACUACAAUUUUCUAGUCCAUAUCUCUCAAAAUAUUAUCAAUAUAUCCUUCAUCUGAAAGGCCAAUGAAUUGAUGCCGAUGAUCUUGAUGCUAAAGACAUAUGAAGCAUUGCCUGUACACUAUAUACUGAAUAAAAACCAAGUAUGGAAGUCCAUCCUAGGUUCAAUUCAACAAAAUUAGUCUAUUACCUAAUACCAAGUCAGGUCAUGAUGGUUCUAGAUUGUAGACACAUUCACUAGAACCACAUAUGGAUCUAAUUUUGUUUUACAGGUCUAUCUUUGGACCCAUGCCUCACCAAUAGUUUUAUAGCUCUAGAACAAGUCUGGAUCUGCAGAUGUUGGUGACAAUCCUGCAAAGUGGACAUAAGGAGUGGACCAGAGAAUUAAUGCUAGAAAAGCCACUAAUUCACAUCACUCCUCAAAUUUUUUCUUUUUCUUUGCUUUUAUUUGUUGUUAGCAACAAUGCUAUGGCAAGGUAUGCGUCCAUCUCUGAGUGGAAUAGGAGUCACCAAUGUUUGAGCUGACAUGGCAUUACAGAAUCAUGUUCUACAAAUAAAAAAAAAAUAAGUUCUACUUGAACAUAAAUUUUAAAUAACCAUAAGCAAUAGGCAAGCAUAGGACUAACUCUCCUUCACUCUCUUGGAGAACGAUGGCCAAUAUUAAAACCUUGUUCAUAUCAAGUAGAAAUCCUACCACCAAAUCUGUUGUUAUUUAACAGAGAUAUGAAGCAAAAUCAAAUGGCACUAAUAGAUGUAAGAAAGAAAAGGCAGACAGAAUAGAGCACAAACCAUUCAAAUGGCAAGCAAUGAAGAAAAAAGAAAAUGAGCCGGGAGUUAGUCUUACUUGUUUGUAAGCUUAUCCAGACGCACAUAAAUGUACCCUCUAGGAGACACCUUAAACGCGUAGAUGAUCAUAUCAUCACUGAAAUGGAGCUGGAGGAUCUCGUGAGCCACCGAAAGAGCCCGUUCACCCCAUCCAACAUCUCCCAGCACGAUUCCACCACCAUCCCCUCCAUCUCCAAUCUAACAGCCCAACGCAUUCAACGUACAAGAAGAGCAACAAAGUUAAGUAUAGAAGCAUGAAAUCGGAAGCCAGGCAAGACUCAGACAAAAUUCUGCACUACAUACCAUUGGCUCAGCUUCUUCCUCCUCUUCCCACUCAACAAUCCAUUCUUCCUCUUCUGUUUCAUCUGUAAACAAGUAAUAGGGAUCUUUAAAAAACGCAAACCGGGAUUUGUAAACAAAUUUUGGGUGAAAACAAAUAAAGUGGGAGGAAGAGGAAUAAUAACAAACAGAUUGCGCGGCCAAAGAAAUAUUAAGAGCUAAAAUUACCUGAUUCCUUUCUUCUUCUCGGGGCUGAAGGACUAGGGGAGAGUGUAGCGCUGGAAAAGAGAGCAACGAAGUGGGGCGAGAAAGGGGAAGGAGGCUGUAGAAGGAGCCUGGAAGAGGACAUAGAGAAGCUUCGAGAAGCCAUGGAGAAAGGGAAUGGGAAGGAAGAGGCCUUGGUGGCGGUGGCCGCAGCCUUUGGACGAGGAGGGUUCGGAGAAAAGGCGGAGGUGGUGGAGGAGGAGAGGAGGCGAGGACGCGCGCCGCCGCGAACCUUGGGUAAUCUCAUCGCCGCCGCCAGUAGAGACGCUGCCUUCCUCGUCGCAGCGUCUUCCGAUGUAGGCAGGCGGGCAAUGAGCGAAAUACCUGCAGGACACCCAAAUAAUAUAUAUUAAUAUUAAUAAACAUAUUGCUAGGCAAAAUAAAAAAUAUAUAACUUUACAAGAGAAAAAAGAUGGCGCACUUCAGUUUCGACACGAGGUCCAGAGUACAACGGAUUGGACUCCUCCUCCUCCUCUUUUCUUUUUUUUUAUAAAUUAUUAUUUUUAUUUUAAUAUCUAGAGCACAACGCAUUGGAUAUAUAUUUUUUUAAAGAGAGAUAGAUUCGCAGUGCUUUUUUUUUUUUUCCGAACAUCUGUAAAUUUUUGUAUUGGACUCUGAUUAUUAUAGCAAUAUAGUAAUAUUUUUUUACAUCAAAAUAAUAUUAAUUAAAAAUUUUUAAUAAAAAAUAAAAAAUUAUAAAUUUUUUAUUAAAAUAAUGUUAGGAUAAUUUUCUGUGCUGACUCAGUAUAUCCAACGUCAGCUUGAAUAGACGUAUUGGACAACAAAGUCGUCUUAUAUUAGAACGACUAUAUGGACCGUUCUAUCAUAAGAUGACUCUAUAAGUCACUUUACUAUAGAGUCAUCGUACCAUAAGAUGAUUUCAUCAAAGUCAUAAACACUUUAAAACCCGAGAAUCCCUACACGGGACCUCUCUCCAUCUCCUUUUUCCUCUCAUGCGCAUUCGCCCUAUCACAGGGCGAUUUCCUCAAAGCCCAAACCCCUCAAACCCAAGACCUCUCUCCCUCUCCCUCUCAUACACCCAUCUCCCUCUCCCUCUCCCUCUUCGUCUCAUGCAUCCCUCUCCCUCUCACUCUCCUUCUCGUGUGUCCCUCGUGGGUGAUUGGCUCUCCCUCUCCCUCUCGUGCGUGAGGCUGAGCAGGUCAACUUUUCCUCUCCCUCUCGUGCAUACGGUCGAGCAACAACUACCCCUCUCCCUCUCUCUCUCUCCCCCUCUCCCUCUCUCUCUAAUAUGUGCGGGCAGUCAGCUCUCCAUCUUCGAUCAUCUACAGUGGAGUAUUAGGAGGUAAGGCAUUUAUUUAUUUAUUUAUUUAUUUGCUUGUUAUUCUUGUUAUUUCUUCUUUUUGUGGUAGAUAUGUGGGGAAAGAGAGCACCUGAGGGAGAUUGGAGGGGUUUAUUAGGUUACGUUUGGUAUGUUUCCUUGAGAUUUUGAGAGCUUAAUCUUAGGACUUGCCUUAUAAUUUUUGGGUUGGAUCCAUGGUCUACAUUUUAAUCUUAGGACUUUCCCUAUAGUAAGAUAGGUUGGAUCCUUUUAUUGCCGAUGACCUGCCUGUCAACUUAGGGACUCAAGUUUGAAAUGCAUCUGCCAUGCAUUUCAAACUUAGGGAUUCAUUUUAAAAAAUGUGCCUUAUAAUUUGUAUAUUUAUACAGUUAGUUCUCACAACAAAUUUUGAAAAAUGGAUCCAAAACUUAUCAUUUUUACUUUUUAUUGGGAUGGAAGGAUCAGUCAUGAUACUAACGGUGCAUAUUAUGAUAGUGGAAGGAUCCGGAUGGUCAUGGUAGACCGUAACGCAAUAUAUCAAGAACUUAUGCGGGUCUGCUAUGUUAUCACUAGAUGGGUUUCCAAAUAAUGUGAAGUUUUCUUAAUGUAUAGAUUUUCAAUUCAUAUGGCUGGACAAUAUUUGACUGUACCUAUUGAAGAUGAUCAGAUAACGUAUACUGUCUUGGGCAUCCCAUCACAAAGAAUGUUUCUGACAGUUGAAAUUUUUAUUGAGCCAGCAGUGGUAGGAGUUUCAGAUGGUGGUGAACAACAUAUAAGUGUGCCUCAGUCUAUAUCUGCUCUACUUGCACAGUCAGGCAUGGGGGAAUCUCUACUUGAUGCAUCUCCAAUAAUCGAUGAAACUGGAUAUGAGUAUGGAGGCACCCCUGUAUGUAUGGUUGAUAGACCAGCUAUAUCCGUAACUGAUAGUCAUUAAUGUAUGGUAGGAGAAGAGGCUGUGUAUCAAUAGUGGAGUAACAUCGCAUUUGAUGAUGCGGGGCCGGUCCUAGUUAGGUGGCAGCUAUCAUGGAGCAUGUGGAGCAUGAAGCUAACGACUCUAUAUCACUUAAUUAGCCACAUGCAUGCCAUGCCCGGAUUGAAGGAUUGAGAACCAUAGCGGUUGAUACAACUUUCUUCAAAAAUGAAGCCGCUAUCAGUUGUGAUCCUAAUCCUAUGGAUGACGAAGAUGAGGAUGAUGAUGCAAAGUCUGAUGGCAGUGAUAGUAGAGAGUCCAGUGCAGAAAAAGAUAUCCCACCAUAAGAGGUGCCCCUUAUUCCUGAAUUUGGACUAGUUGAUGCAUCCGAUGAUGAUGAGGUUGUAUCCCAUGGAGCAUUAUCAAAACAUCCAUUUUUUGAUAAAAAUGAAGAGUUAAGUAAGGACAUGGUAUUCGAAUAAAAAGAAUAGGUCUAACGCACCAUGAAACAAUAUGCUAUUCGCACCCACCAUCCUUUCAAAGUCAUCGAGUCAGAUAGAGUUAAAUAAGGCGUUAUGUGUAAACAGUCUGUUACUUACAAUUGGCAUCUUCAUGCAUUCCUUCGGAUCAAGACAUAGCAAUGGAAGAUUACGGUAUAUAAAGGACCAUAUACAUACUUGAAUAUAGAUGUGAUGCGAGAUCAUCCACAGCUUGAUGCAAGCAUGAUUGUCGAUAUCAUUAGAAGAUCAGUUAGGACAGAGAUAUCCAUAUCCAUAUCAGUCUGCCAGACUUAUGUACGUAAUAUAUGAUAGUGCGAGGCAUCUUAUAGAAAGACGUAGAUAGCAAACAACUUGUUAUAGACGAGCUGUUUGGAGAUUGGAUAGAGUCUUAUAACACAUUGGAUCCUUGGCUAGCUGCGAUUUGUCAUGCCAGUGAAGGGAUCAUGGUAGAUUUUGCAAAAAUUUCUACAACAGAGGCAAACACAGAGGUGUUUACCUAAUUUUUUGGACAUUCGAUCCACGCAUUUAGGGCUUUUAGUUCUGUCGUUCACUGAUUAGUAUUGAUGCAACACAUGUAUACGGUCGAUAUAAGGGUACUCUCAUGAUAGCUAUGGAAAAGAAUGAAAAUGAGAAUAUCUAUCCUCUAGCAUUUGCCAUUUGUGAAUGCGAGAGUCAUAGUAGUUGGUCAUAAUUUUUAUGGUAUUUGCACUAUUAUGUGGCAUGUGACCGUAUGGGGAUUGGCAUAAUUUCAGAUUGACACAAAAUAAUAUUAGCUACUAUUUCAGAUGAAUCUGUUGGAUGGACAGUACCAUAUGGGCAUCGCAGAUUAUGUCUUAGAUAGGUUGAGGCUAACCUAAAUGGUCGAUUCCAUGAUGCUGCAUUUUUGACUUAUUUUCAUCAAAAUGCAAAGUAAAAUCAGUCCUGAAAGUUUGAUCGAAGGAUGCAAUACAUUGAGAUAAUAUGACCUAAUUGCUUUCAAUAUCUGAAAUCAUAUUCACUUGACGAUCUGAGUCAAUGGUCACUAGUGCAUGAUAUGGGUGGAUAUAGGUAUGGAAUAAUGAAUACCAAUCUAUCUGAAAGCUUCAAUAAGGUAUUGAAGGGGGCUCGCUCAUUACCCAUUAUCGCUCUUGUUUGUCUUUCUUUCAAACACUUAUCGAAGUGAUUUAGCAUCAAAUGUGUAAUAGCAACACGGAGAAGGGAGGCCAGUAGAAUGUUCAUAGAUAAGAUUAGACAAAAGUUAAAUGGACGUCAGAUAAAGUUUAAGGAAAAUUGUGUGGUUAAGUACAAUAACCAACUGGAUUUUAUAUGAGAUUCAGUUGAGAUCAAGAUAUUAUCCGAUGAAUACGAUUAUACACAGAUAGUCGACUUAGGAGCAUGCACCUGCACAUGUAGGAAGUGACAGUUACUGCAUUAUCCAUGCUCUCAUUUGUUUGCUAUAUGUAUCAGUGAGAACUUAGACUGGAAGCAGUUCAUUGACGAUGGUUAUACUAUUGCACAUUAUGAGCAGUUAUAUGCACCAACAUUCCAUCCCCCAGAGAGUCCAUAUUAUUGGCCUGACUGGACUGCACUUAUACUCAUACCGCAUCCAACCACAAGAAAACAAGGAAAGGGGCAUCCCCAAUCGAGGAGGAUCCAAAAUGAUAUGGAUAUAAUGGAGUGCCAAAAUAUUGUACGAUGUGGAUUGUACAAGGAGAUAGGGCACAACCGACGCAGAUACCCCCAAUGGCAUUGAUUUAUGUAUUUGUUCAUAUUAUGUAGACUAACUUUAUGUAUCAUUUAUGUUCCUUUUAAAAUAUUUUGAUUAUGUAAUCAUGUCAUGUAAAUAUUUUUCAAAUUAUCCUAUGUACCAUUUGAAAGGAAAGAAAGAUUGUUUCUAACGGAUAACUAGAGUUGCAUCUAAAAAUUUUUUAUAUAUUGAAUUAAAUAAAGAUCAAAUUUUUAUUUCGACUGUAGCGAAAUAGGGAUCAAAUUUUCAAAAUCUGGAUUCAAACCUUCACGUAUGCCUAGAUCUGCAGGUCCUCUACUUCGCGAACACGCCAUGCUCCACAGAAAAGCAGGAUGAAGCUUCGGCUUGAAGCAUCUUUGUAAGACCACCAAGAAAGAAAAAAGAGGUACUGAUGUGAUGCCUUACACUAGCAAGGAGACACCCACAAUGGAGCCCACGGCAAGGAGAAGGAGGGGCGGCAAGGAGGAGGAUGCCCAAGGGUGACGCCCACAAGCUCUCUCACGCCUCUCUCUCUUUCUCUUUUUCUCACAAUUUGAUUGCCAUGCAUCCAUAGGUAGAGACCCUCCCUAUUCAGAGAUGAUUUUUCAUAGAACUCCUAAUUCAAACAAGCUUUGAAUCAGUCCUCAACUUAUCAAAGAAGGACUCCUACAUGAGAAAGGAUUGGCGCUUAGCUUGGCACCUACAUGCACCCAGACUUACAUCCAUGUGGGAUGGCCCAUAACCAGCACCAUAUCAGGUGCUAGUCAGCCAUAGAGGUGAGAGAAUCUCAGUGAAAAUAGACUCUAGAUAUCUCAUACAAAAUUAGGUCAAUUCGAAUUGACUUCGAAGCUGAUUCGAAAUAAUUUCGAAAGGCUAUCAAUCUUAAACUAUUUUAAGAUUUAGGAUCAAGUCUAACUUAAAAUUUUGAAUCUAAUUAAGUCUAAUUAAAUCAGAUCUAAUUUAAAAUUAAUUAGUACAUAAAUUCAAUCUCUCAUAGGCUUUUUGGAUCAUAGAUAAAAAAUUGUUCAUCUCUGGGAUUGAACCUGAACGUCAUGUGUAGUACUAGCUAGAUAUAGUCAACUCUUCAAUCUCAUUUAAUCCAUAACUUAAUUUUCAAUCAAGUUAGUUUAUAUAUUCAAUCAAGUCAAAUACUUUCAAAUUGGACAUAUAAACAUAGGCCAAUACUUUCCUACGUCGUCUGACUUUUAUGCGUGACUCCAUAGAUUCGAAUACUAAAUCGAUAGCACAAAAAUUAUUUUCUAUACUAAUCGAAGCUAUCAUCUAACAAUGAUUUUCGACGUCUAGAUAGGGCGAAUAAUCAUAAAAAAAUAUUUUAAAAUCUAUGCAUAUGGUUAUCGUAUAAUUCAUCCCUUUGAUCCUGAAUGCUCUAGGCUGAUCUAGGGUUAAUUGUCAAUGCUGAGUAUUUCAUCUAUAUUGUAUUUCAAUCUUUCAAAUUCAUCACAUGAAUUAUCCUAGCUAAGAUUUUACUAAAUUGAAAUACAGCGAUACAUCAGCUCCUAUAAUCUGGAGGAGUCAAUCCCAUCUUGAUUCACACACAGACUUUGCAAGUACUUGAUUGUACCUAGCAGCCUUCCAUCACUGCAUUAGAAAUUCAGAUAGUCCGGUAUCAAAGCAUGAUAAGUUACUUGCAAGUCACUAUGGUGAUCUCAGGUCUGAGGGAUAUGUAUGCCCAUAUGCUUCACGAGUAACUCUUGACAGUAGAAUGCUCAGUAGGUGAGUUACUUGUUCAGGAACGAUGUACUCCUACAUCUCACCUGUAUGCUAUACUAGUGUCAUCAUACUCCUUGGUUAAGAGAAUAACCAACCCAUAUGGCAUACAACAAUCUUCACUCGAUAAAUAUCAUCAUCCUGUAAUGACAUAUCAUUUGAUCGCGAACGUGUUUAAAAACUAUACGAUAAAUCUUCCUUUAUCGAUUACUAACAUAGUUCUAAGAACUUCAUUACAAUAUAAGAGUUCAUAAAGAAGAUGCAACUUUGUAAUGAAUAAUGCCAAAAUAAUUUUUAUUUAUCAAUCAAUAAUUUAUAUACAAAAAAAAUUUAAUUGUCAUACGAUUGAUUUUAGGAUACAUUUUCCAACAUCAUUUGUAUUGCUUUUCAUCUUUGAUAUUUCUUGGUAGUAAGAUAGUUUUUUUAUUUUGUACCUUAGACAUAGUAGGUUCAGACUUCAAUGUUCAUCUGGAGCCGAUAAACCUUAUCAUGUUGUAUCUUCAGACUCGAUAUCAUCGUGAUCUUAUAUAUUCUGGGGAAGACAUGGUGCCCCUACACUGUAGACACAGAGGUUCGUUCGCUAUGCGUGCCUGACGGCCAUAUAAAAGGAUCUAGGAGUAUUUUCAUAUAGCUAAUUUUUAUGGAGUAUUUAGAGUAUGUGAUAUACAGCUAGAUUGGGCUCUCAUCACAGUCAUGGUAGAGUGAUGGCGUCAGGAGACUCAUACUUUCUACCUGUGCAUCAGAGAGGCGACAAUCAUAUUACAGGAUAUUGUUCUUCUUGGAUUAUGGGCGCACGGGCCCACCAUCAUCAGUACUAUGAAAAUCAUCUGAUCAGAUCUAUGUGAGGAGUUAUUCAGGAUUAGACCGUCAGAGUUGAUAUUGUCGGGAUCUUCGCUGAGAUUUCAUUGGCUUCAUGAUAUAUUCCAUCACUUAUCAGAUGAUGCGGAUGAUGAGAUCGUGUAGAAGCAUGCUCGAGCAUUUAUUCUUUGCCUUAUCGGUAGCCAUCUGUUCAUUGAUAAGUUUGGUUUCCAUGUGCAGUUAUUGUCCUUACCUCUGCUACAUAAUUUUCAUGCAUAUGGGCAAUUGAGUUAGGGCAGCACUAUCUUAGCUUUCUCUUAUCGCGAGCUCUGCAGGGCCACCAGACCAAAUGCACGUGAGAUAGUUGGGCCAUUGGUGUUGUUGCAGUUUUGGAUAUGGGAGAAUUUACACAUCGGACAGCCAGAUAGAGUGCUCCCAAGGGUAGGAGCCCACCAGCUGACGAUGGAAGGUGAUGUAGUAGGAUAUGGCCUGUUAGAUAAGGAUGAUGCUGGUUUUGAGGGCCCAUUUGAUAGCAUACAGCAAGACCAGACUGAUCCACUGAGAUGCAGGUGUGUAAUCAGUAUCACUGAUUUUAUAUGAUAAAUAACUAUAUAUUUUUAGCAUAAUAAUAUAUUGACUUUAUUUUGGAUAGGUGGAGGACUCGACUGACUGAUGCUAGCAAUCUGAUGUUGCACACAAUCAUAUAGUAUAGGGAUUAGCUUGACCAGUAGCGCGAUGAUCAGAUGGUAUGGGUGCCUUACACACCAGAGAUAUUAGCUGCAUUGCUCAAGGUAUGCCGAUCAGAUCAGCAUGUAUGGAGGAUAUGCGCACCUCUCAUUUGCUUCAACAUCAUGGAGAUCUAUUGUCCGAAGCACAUGAUACGACAGUUUGGCAUGCAUCAGGGCAUCCCCUCACCAUGCGACACUCGUGAUGGUCUCCAUAGUUUUGAUCGAUGAGGGCAGCAUCAUCAUGAUUGAGGUCUAGAGCAUCGAAAGCAUAUUGAUGUAUGGGAGUGACGGAAGGAUUUGUUGUGGAUGGCCCAUCCAUGCUCCCCAUGAUGGAUUAUUAUGAUCCAUAUCUUGUGUGGUGUAGGAGUAUUACUAGGUGAUUCAUCUCGCCAUUGAUGAGUGAGCAGUCCGAGAUGAGGUUCCUUCUUUCGAGCAGCAUGAUGGACAUUGUGGUAAGUACAUUUUACUUUUAUCUCACUUUAUUUUGAAUAAUAUUUAUUUUUUUUUCAUACCGAUAGUUUCAGAGGAUCACGUCGCUAUACCAUUGGGUAAGGGGUGGCUUUCAUUCGAUCACUGUUAGGUACAAGAAUCAAGUACUUAUCGAUGGUAUGAACGGUCUUAUCAAUACUAUACGAGUCAUCUCAUCAUCUCUGAAGAUAGAUGACUUCAUACAGCACUAUCGAUAGAUUAUCCAAGUACCUCAUCAUAUGCUCAGCACACCUCAUAUCUUGACUUCUCGGACUUCGACCUCUUCGUAGAUGAUGCUUCUAUAUCACAGAAGAUGAGUGAGCUAGGACAUACAUCGUAUCGAUCCGAUGAGCAGCACAUCGAUCAUACGCAUGGGAGAGCCAGAGGUAGGGGUAGACUGAGGGUUUUUCGAGGUAGAUGUCAGGCACAUCUUGAUAGGUCGAGCACGUCAGUACCUUCCUCUCCACCGAUUGAUAUCGUGCCUGAGCCAUUACGACAGUGGCUAGAGGUGACAUGCGUUUAUGAAAGACAGAUGCGGAGGAGGCUCCAGUAUUUUGAUAUAUAUGCCUCUCGAUAGUUGUAUACUUGUAUAUUUUUUUUGCUAACAAACUUUAUAAUAAUCAACUAUUUUUAUUGCACAUGUUACAAAUUUUUUAAAAUUUGAAUGCACAUGUUAGAAUUUUACGAUCAUUAUGUUAUCAUUCAAUGACUAAUUUAAUCUUUUGAUGAUACAUAUAUACCUUAUGCAAAUGUAAAUCCACAUACAUACAUGUAAAUGAUAAUCCAUGACACAUUGCAUGGUAACCCCAUUAACUGUAUAACUUCAUCAAAUGGAACAAGGUAGAGAACACCCUAUUAAGCAUUUGCAUCCUUGUAGCAAUACAGUCUUGUAUUAAUAUUGGAAAUGCCUUAUUCAGAAUCAAGUUGAGUUGUUAGCUAUCAAGCUUGCAGAGAUGGCUGAGACGUGUUUGAAUUGCACACAUCAUGACAAGUAUUUUGAGCUACUUUGUCAUAGGCAGCAGUGGAAUACCUUUUGAAGAACAUAACCAUCAUGUAUAGCAGUAAUAGUUGUGGAUGCACCCUUGCUGCAUUAGAAAAUUGUUUCUUAGAGCUAGUCUUGUAUUUAAGCAAUAAAGAAAAUUCCAAUAGCAAAGACAGGCAUCCAUGAAACAACCACACUGGCUCAAAAAUAUUAUUCGAAACAUAAGUAGCAUAUCAACAAUAUGUACAAGUUGCCAACAAUAAAAAGCCAAAAAUGAUAACCAUAAGGUAUAAUUUGGAUGUUUUUCAUGACCGUAUAUUAUUAAGAAAUAGAAGAUAUGACAGUUAGGCAGCAAAAAAAAAGGCUUUCUGUGUUGGCUUGUGGCACAACAGGGGUUGACCCCUGUGCCAAGUGGGCGUUUCACAGUCGUCCUAUGAUGGGGUGACUCAUAGAGUCAUGCUAUGGUAGAGUAACUUAUAAAGAUGCCCUAUGAUAGGAUGACUCAUAGUCUUGCCCUAUGAUAGGGUGACUCAUUGUUUCACCAAUCUAUACCCCAAAUUGGCGUGAACAGUGAUGAGUUAGCAUAUAAAGUCGUCUUAUAAUAGAGCGACUUUAUUUUGGACAGUAUUCUUACAAAUACUUUUGAAAGGAUAUUAUUUUGAUAAUUUUUUUUAAAAUAAGUAUUAUUUCAAUAAAAAAUCUAUAAAUAUUUGUAUUGAGCUCUAAUUAUUAUAGAAAUAUAGCAAUACUUAAUUUUACACCAAAAAAAAAUAGCAAUACUUUUUUUUGCCUAUUUGUUUUAAUUUUCUUUUUUAUUUUACCUUUUUACAUGUAGAUGCAAGUACUAGCUUAUAAUCUCCAUAGAAUUUAAUAAAAAUCUAAAAAAAAAAUACCUUGUAAUGUUAGAGCUACAUCAUUCCUAAGAUUAAGCUACAUCAUCAUCUAAUCUUGAAUUCAAAAUUCAAAUAAAAAAUCUUGUGAAUCUUUUUUAUUUAAAAAAAUAAAAAUUUCUAAUUAACAAAGUACCAUUCCUUAUGGACUCAUUUGGUUUAUAUGAAGAGGAGGAACGUGUAGUACAAAAAAAAGGGAAACACCAUAGUUUUCAAUAGAAAGAGAUGUGAAAAGUGGCUUUUUCAUGUGAAUAAGGUUCCACCAGGGAUAGCAAUGGUUGGGUCACAAUUAAAAACUUCAUACCUAUACCCAUCCCAUACUCGUCUCGAGUCAGGUCAAGUAGAGAUGUGAGAUAGAUUGGAUUGGAUAGAUAAUAGGGGUUGGAUUGGAUUAGAUUAGAUUAAAUAAGAAACUCAUCAUAUAAAUAUUAUAAAAUAAUUAUUAUUUUGAAGAGGAAUUUAGAUUAAGAUUAUAUUGGAUCAGAUUUGGAGUGGGGCAUACUGUUACCCAUCUAAACAUGCUUCACAUAUUUUUUCUAGAACCUAUAUCCACCCCCAGAUUAUAAUCAGGUUGGAUAAAAUCUAUCCCAUUCGGAUCAGACUGGAUCAGGUACUCGUUAGGUCGGUUAAGAUUGCCAUCCCUAUUUUCUAUAUUUCAUGGAAAAGAAAAAUUCAUAUGGAACAUGAGAAGGUCAAAUUCUCACUGGCUAGAAAUUAGGUUAAUUCAUUUUUCUAAAAGUACCUUUAAAGCUAUUAGAUAGAAUUAGGGGUGCUAAUUAGAUUGGGUUGGGUUAUAUAGGAGUCGAGUCGGAUGUGGGUCAAAUUAAAAAUUUGUCAACCCAAGUCCGACUUAUUUAUUAAAUGGUUCAAAAAUUUAGAUCUGAACCUGACAUAUUUAUUAAAUAAGUAACUCGACUCAUUCCAUAUAACUCAUUUAUUAAACAUAUCAAAUCAGAUUAAACAGAUUAAAUAGAAUAAGUGAAUUAGGUUAAAUAGACCAGUAACAAAUUAGGUGGAUGGAUUUUAAAUAGAUUAAAUAGAUUUUAAAUAGGUUAAAUAGGUUGGAUUAUGAUCCCAUCCAAUUAUUAAAGGGGUCAAAAUAGAUUAAACAUGUUAAAAAUCUAAACUUGAAUCCAGCCCAUUUAAUAAAAAGGUCUAGACAGGUUGGUCUAUUCAUAACCCAAGUUCAUUUAUGUCAAACCUAAAUCUACUUAAAGCAGAUCGUUCAUGGGUCAGAUUGAUGGAUCGAGUCAUAAAUUGUUGCCCUUUGAUAGAAUUAGGUAAGAUACUUUCUUUUAUUAAGUAUAUAAUAGGUGUUUUAUAUAACUUUCUCAUGAAAGUAAAUGCUCGAUCAAACAUAAAUCAUUUUGGAAUGUAUUAUUUUUUCAUAGUCAAUCAAAUAUAAAAAAAUAAGUUUUCUAAAUAUCAACUUUUCAAAAAAAAUAUUUCAACAAGAAAAUUUUUUUUCGCAAACCAAACUAGUCCUGAAAUACUCCUUGCUCUCCCUAUCGUGAUUCCCUCUUGCUAACCCAUAUCCAUGUUACCCUACCUCUCCAUUUGUCCCCCAUUAGGCCAGAGGUCUCUCAUCUACCCCGUUCCUCUAAAUUGGCUUAUAGUUUAUCCUAUAUUUGUAGUUUGGGAUUAAUAUUUGGUUGUGAUUAUGACUAUCGGACAACUUUGUAUUACAAUUUAUGCUUGCAGAUUCAAUCUAAAGCAAUCCUGCCCCCUACUUGAAGGGAAAGAGGUUAUUCGGGCUGCAGAAACAAGUCUAAGAAAAAUUAUAGCUUCUUGAUACUGGCUAUUAGAUUGCCAAUAAGGGAGCUGGCUUGUGAAGUAUGAAUUUUUUACUUAUUUUUUGAAGUAUGAAAUUUUUUACUUCUUUCUAUAAAUAUAAGCAAAAGCUUUGGAGUGACAAAAUUUUUAAUUAUUUAAAAUGAAUGGUGUUUUUAUUUUUAUGCUGAUUUUGUAAUUAUUUAAUUGUCUCCAUUAUAUUGAUCUUUGAAUUGUAAAGGUGUAACUUGAAGUAUCAAAUUAGAGUUUCACUUGCAAGAUUGCUUGCUAAGUCAAGGCAUGUAAGAUAGUGUUGCCAUUUUCUUUUAAAUGAUUGCAAGAUCGGAAAUAGAAAUAUGAUAUAUUGUAAUAGUUGAGUGCCAGACACUCUUUUCUAUGUCGUUAUUUACUCUCUCUCUCCCUCAAGAAGUUGCAUUUUGUUUCAUUAUUUUAGUUGUAUAUUAAUAUAUAUUUUAUUUUAAAUUUAUUUGUAUAAGUAUAAUUGAAUCAUAUUAGUGGGAUAGAAGCAUUUAGAAGCCUCCUCAUAAUUUCUUUCAGAUGGAAGAGGGGAUCUUAUAAUAUUUCAAACUUACUUUAAAUUGGUAUUUUAUUUUUGAGAAAAAAAGCUUUCUUUUCGUUUCUACUAUUUAAGGUUUAAGAAGUUAAUCUUUUAGAAUAGAUGGUUGAUAAAUUUUAUAUUAGCUUUAUCGUAACGUGUUGGUGUGGUCGCUCCUCAUAUGGGAUCCAUCAUUUUAAAUAAAAAACAGAAAGGAAGAGAAGAGUACAAAAGGACUCAUUCUCUUUGGCACUCAGGAUUGUCCUAUGUGUAUGGAGUUUUUGGGAGCACGUGAAAACCAAAUAAGCAGCAGCAACGUGAAAGGCUUUUUAGGGUAGUGUACGAAAAAGUGAAACUUGGACUUUAUAUCAACGGCAUGAGAAAAAAAAAGGAGGCAUGGGGUGGAAGCCUCUUGUGCACAGAAACCUUCUAUGAAACAAAAAAGGAGUCUAAAACGGACUCUAGCUUUUUGCUAUAAAAAGGAGAGCCCAUGGAUAUAAGAACAUGAACACAAAAAAAAAAUAGAGGUCGUAAGAAGGUUGUGAGCCAUCAAAAAGACAGGGAGAGAGAGAAGAAGAGAGACUUGGAGGGUGCUUCGUUCAAAAAAAAAAAAAUGAAGAACGUUGAUCGGAGGAGUUCGCUUAACCUCAGGUUAAAGUUGUUCCAUCUAGGGUUCUAUUGAAGGUUUGUUUAAUCUUGAAUUUCUUCUUUCUUGUAUUAGAAGUGGUGUUCCCGAUGUAGUGUUAGGAAAGAUUUUUUAUACUUUAAACUAUUAUUAUAGUGGAAGCUUCUUCUUACUCUGGUUCCUAUGUGGACGUAGGCUUCGGCCGAACUAUCUGAAAUUCUAGUAUUCUUGCGAUUGUUGUGAUUUCUCUAUACCCUUGGUAUUAUUGUUAGCAUAGUUUUUACUUUUGCUUUAUCUAUUAUAUUUCGAUACUCAAAUCCCAAUAAGUGGUAUCAGAGUCAAGUUCUAACGAAUCUAGAGUACCGAAGAAGGAAUUGAGAUGCUAAUAGAUGGAGGACCAAUCUUUGUCGAACACUAUGAUCAAGUUGAUGUCAACCAACUACUUGAUUUGAAAGCCUCAUAUAUAAGACCUUUUUUAUUGUAAAGAUCUUCAUGAUCUAAUCGAAAAAAUUAUUGCUCAGUCAGAUAAGAUAUCAGACAGAGAAUGGAAGAAAUUGAAUUGUAAAAUCAUUGAGCUCAUCUGGUAGUGGAUUGACGAUAGCAUCUUUCAUCAUAUUUCAAUGGAGGUUAAUGCGCAUAGCCUCUGGUUGAGACUGAAAAGCUUAUACGAGAGAAAGAAAGUGUAGAACAAGGCGUUCCUAAUUUGCAAACUGAUGAACAAUUAAUAUAAGGAGGGGAUUUUCAUGGCGGAGCACCUAAGCAACUUUCAGAAUGUGGUAAACCAACUCACUAUGAUAAAUAUGGUGUUAGACAAGGAGCUCUAGCCCUUACUAUUGUUGAAUUUCUUGCUCGACAGUUGGGAGACUCUAGUGGUGUCUCUAAGAAAUUUUUCAUCGGAGGGUUCAAUAGUCUUGGUAAUGGUGAAAGAAUGUAUACUUAAUGAGGAGGUCAGAAGGAAGGAGCAAGGAGUCUCGAGCCACAAUGAAGCCCUCAUCAUGAAAAAAAAGGGAAGAAGCAAGCACAGGGACUCCCAAACUAACUUGGAUGAUGGCCACACUAAAUAAUGAGGGAGAUCUGAGUCCGGAGUGGUAGAUGUUACAACUGCGGCAAAAUGGGGUCAUUUUAAGAAAGACUAUCGAUUACUAAAGAAAGAGAAGUUGAGGAACAAAUCAGGUGAUGACUCCAGCUCGAACAAUGAGACGAUAACAGUAGCUACGCAUGGAGAGGUGAUCGUUGUCUAUGGCAUAAUAGAUGAUGGUCUUGUAGGUACUACCGGUCAAGAUUCUAUCUAGGUGAUUGAUUCGGUUGCUUCGUAUCAUGUUAUAAUGAGAUGAGAAUUAUUCUCAUCUUACCAUUUCUAUGACUUUAGGAUGAUAAAGAUGGAGAAUGAUGGAGAAUUAAAAAUCAUUGACGUCGAAGACAUUAUGCUGAUCAUGAGCUUGGGGUAUAGGCUAGUGUUCAAAAAUAUUCGACAUGUACCAGAUAUCUGCCUGAACCUAUUGUCCAUAGAAAUAUUAGAUGAGGAGGGCUACUAUAGUAUGUUUAGAGAUGACAAGUAGAAGCUGACCAAGAAAUCGCUAGUAGCAGCCAGAUGUAUCAAGCAAGGCUCUCUCUACUUCAUGCAAGCUAAGCUCGGUAAGAGAGAAAUGAAUGCAGCGGAAGAACCUUCUACUUUAGAAUUAUAGCAUCGAUGACUGGGAUAUAUGAGCCAAAAGGGAAUACCAAUUUUGGUCAAGAAGAAUGUUCUUCCUCCUGAUGGUUCUGGAUUGAAGACAUGCGAAAACUGCCUGAUGGGUAAGCAAACCUAAGUUUGUUUUUAGAAUUUUUCUCUAAAAGAAAAACUGAUGUAUUAGAUCUUGUUCACAGUAAUGUUUGUUUUAUGAGUGAUAAAACUCUUGGUAGAUACUCUUACUUUAUGACUUUUGUUAAUGAUCACUCUCGAAAAGUUUGGGCAUAUGCUUUGAAAAUAAAAAAUCAGAUGCUUGAUAUAUUCAAGCAAUUUCACGUCUUUGUUGAAAGAAAGAUUGGGCGAAAACUGAAGUGCAUAUGAGCGGAUAAUGAGGGUGAAUAUCGGGGUCCUUUUGAGAAUUACCAUCAACAAAAUAGUAUCAGAUUGGAGAACACGGUACCUAAGACACCAUAGUAGAAUGAGAUUGCUGAGAGGAUGAAUAAGAUGAUAUGCAAGAGGAUUAGGAGCAUGCUCUCUCACGCUAAACUAUCAAAGGCAUUUUGGGGAGAGACAUUGAUAACUACAGUCCACAUCAUUAUUCUUCUUCCUUCCUAUGCUCUUGAGGGUGAUACACGACAGAGAGUAUGGUUGGAGAAAGAUAUUUUUUGUGAUUAUUUGAAAGUCUUUGGAUGCAAGGCAUUCAUGCAUAUUCUAAAAAAUGAAAGGUCCAAACUAGAUGCUAAGAUGAAGUAGUGUAUAUUUCUGGGCUACAGUAAGGAUGGAGAGUUUGGCUACUGAUUGUGAGAUGGAACAGAAGAUCAUAUGCAGCCACGAUAUUAUUUUCUCAGAUGAUCAGAAGAUCGACAACUUCGAAAAGCCUAACAAGCCGAAGUCAAACCCAAGUAGCCCUAUAGAUUUGUGCUCAGAUAUCUUCUCGAGGAGUCUUGAUGGUGGGGGAGCAACUGUAGAUGAUGGUAUACUUGACAGUCAUGAAGCUGAGGAGAGUGUGGAUGGUGUUCAGAAAGAGCCACAUAUUGAACCAUCUGUAUAGGAGAUCCGAUGAUUCACAAGAGAGUGGAGGCCGUCCAUGAGAUAACCACUACAAGAUUAUGUGCUAUUAAUGGUAGCGGGAAAGUCUGAGUCAUACUCCAAAGCCAUGAAGUAGUUCAAGCUUAAAAAAGUUGAUACUGAAAAAAAUAGUUCUGAUAUAUUGAUGAAGCCAGUUUUAGAGAUAAAACUGAUGAAGUGCAAGGGCACUGCAGGCUUGAUGAAAUCCUCCAUAUGAGUCAAAAGGAUAAGAUUUAUUGGUGUGGUCCCUCCUCAUAUGGGAUCUAUUAUUUUUAAAUAAAAAAAGAGAAAAGAAGAGUCCAAAAAGGACUCAUUCUUUUUAGCACAUGGGAUUGUCCUGUGUGCAUGGAGCUUUCGAGAGCAUGUGAAAACCAAAUAAGCAGCAAUAAUAUGAAAGACUUUUUGGUGUAACAUACAAAAAAGUGAAAUGUAGACUUUUAUAGGCAUAGAACCAGUGGUGCGAGAAAAAAAAGGGGCAUGGUGCAGAAGCCUCUUGUGUGCAAAAAUCUUCUAUGAUGCAGAAAAGGAGUCCAAAACUGACUCUAGCUUUUGUCCAUAAAAGGGAGAGCUCGUGGAUAUGAAAACAUGAUCACAAAAAAAAGGAGGCAGUAAGAAGGCCGUAAGCCACCAAAAGAAGAGGAAGAGAAAGAAGAAGAGAGGCUUGGAGUGGGCUUUAUUCCAGAAAAGAAGAUUGAAGAAUGUCGAUUGGAAGAGUUUGCUUAAGUUUAGAUUAGAGUUAUUCCAUCGAGGGUUCUACUAGAGAUUUAUUUAAUCUUAGAUUUUGUUCUUUCUUAUAUUAGAAGCGAUGUUCUCGAUGUGGUGUCAGAACAGAUUUUUUAUACUUUAAACUAUUAUUGUAUUGAAAACUCCUUCUUACUCAGGUCCCUAUGUGGACAUUGGCUUCGGUCAAACCAUUGAAAAUUUUGAUGUUCUUGUAAUUGCUGUGAUUUCUCUGUACCUUUGGUAUUAUCAUUAGUUUGAUUUUUACUUUUGCUUUAUCUAUUAUCUUUUAGUACUCAAAUCCCAAAAUAACACUAUAUUAACCAAUCUAUUUUUUUCAUUACCUUUAAGUGACUUUACAUGUUAAACACCACAAGCAAAAAUAGACAAGGAGGUGGUUGAAACCAAACUCUUCAAUUUUCUAGAGUCAGAAGCUCUGGGAACCUUAGAGAGAGAAACAUUCCACCUUUCAAUACCAUCUUUUCAUCACAUCUCUUCCACAUACCUCGCCAACACAUAUCAAACUAUCCCAUCCACAAGCUACUAGCACAAAUGUAAUCCCAUUAGGAUAGUAAAUAUUUGGCGAUGUUAAAGAGAAGGUUUCUUUUCCUCUUCUGGUGGCCCCCCCCACAAUUCCUUCUCCACGCUAGGUCAUCUGAUGAUGAUGGAACCAAUACCAAUACCUAAGCUAGCCCCACCAACCUCCACUUCAUCAGAGACCUUUUGACCCUCAUCCUUAGAAAAAAUUUGAUCAUUCCCAAGCAUGGAAUCGCCCUACUCAAUCACAUCCAAAUUUUGCCAGAACUACAAAAGAAACACAUUUCUACAAACCACCGAGGCUUACAGACAAAGAAGUAUGGACUAAGGUACUUCCACGAUCAUAUCGAAGGAGACAUGUAUGAAGAUAUGUGCAAUCUUCUCGACAUGCAAAUAACUCAUAAGGACAAAAGAUUUCGGCAGCAUAGGAAUGGGGAGGGACAAUUACAUUGAAUAGUCAAAUAAAAAAGAUUGAUGUUGAGAUACUGAAGGAUGCUUCCACAUCAAGUUGAAAUCUAGAAGAAAGAGUAUGCAAUGGGUUAGCUACAACGACUCUUCCACUGAAGUAGCUAAGAUAUUGGAUCGAAACCUCUUUGCAGAAAGAAUAGCAAGUAAUGGAGACCAUACUCCCCACCUAUUUAAAGCAGGGAUGUGUUUCCAUUGCGGAUGGUCAGAUCCAUGAUAAAAGAAAUUGUCAAAAUCUAAUUCGAUGCUUUCAAUGUCUAAAACUUAGCCACUCCAAAAAACCUGUAAAGCAUCUCCAACAACAAACACCCAAAAGCCUUUGAAGACUGCUACAGCCCACCCAAUACAAAAAGUUCAAAAUAAACAAUAACUGAAAACAUGCAAAACCCACUAUCAAACAGCCAAGCCUCCCAAACCCAUCCACCAUGAAAGUUUUCUUGCUAUUCACUUUUGAAAUGGCAAAAAUUUCUAUAUACCUAAACCAGGCAGCUCACGUGGAAUCCUUUGGCCAUAUCAUCAAAGUGGAUGAUGUGGACCCCUGCCAAAAAAGCAAAAAAGGUUGGGUCAUGGAUGGUGAGAAAACUCUCCGAUCGAGAGUUCUUCAUUACAUGCCAAAAUUAUAUGAUGGUACAAUCGCUAAUGGCAGAAGGGCACAUCAGA